AACAAGAAAAGUGUUAACUUUAAAUAAAUAAAUUAUGAUUAGUCUUAGUACAUUUUCACCAUAAUUACCUUAUUAAUCUAAGUACAUUAAUUUUAAUAGAUGAUAAAAUCAAUAAACUUAUUAUAUAUUUAUUAAUGAUCCUCUCAAUUAUGAAGCAACCAUAAUCUAGUGAUGGUAUAUUUAAUACUUAUGGAUGAUGUCCAAUUUUUAAAUUAUUCCAUCAUAGAGUAUUAUAAUACAUAAUUACUUAAAUAAAUUGUUUGACAUAUUUUAUCAUAUUUUUUUAUUCUUAUCCUAAAAAGUAAUUUUUAUUGAUAAAAAUAGUUAAAAAAUAUUAAUAAUUAUAUAAGCAACAAUACUUAUAUAAGAACGUGACAUCAAAUACUUUAAUGAUAAUUUUUAUCAAGCAACUCUCAUAAAUAAUCAUAUUGUAGAUAUUCUUAUAUGAAUAGGGAAAAAGCGUAUCAUAAAUCUGAAAUAAAAACUUAGACAUCUAAGACAUGAAUAGUGUUAGAAAUAUAUAAGAAUAUAUUAGAAACUAAUUAUCUUUUUCCCCCAAAAUUGAAAUAUAAGUCAUAUAAUUAACACUUUUUUUUUAAUAUUCUCAUCUUAUCAUAUCAUAUCGAUAUAUCAUAUUGUUCUGUUUGAUAUUUAUCUUUCUCACUCGAUGUCAAAUAUAAAGUUGUUGAGUAUAUAUAUAUAUAUAUAUAUAUAUCACUUCUCUCUUCAAUUUCUUCAAUUCUCAAAGGUGUUGAUAGGACACGAGCUUCCACCAAACAUUACUAAUUCUAAUUGUGCAAGUGCAUUGUUUACCAUGGUUGAUCCCUACCCUACAUUGACCUAUGCUCUGUGGGUAUAUAAAGAUCAGGAACCUGUGCACAUGAUGAUAAUCUCAUUCGCACAGGGAAGGUACCUAUCAUUGUUCAAAUGACUGAGAAAAGUAUAAAAGACAAUAUAGUCAUGGGGAAAUUCUGGUGCCCAGAGUGAAAAAAAAUUAGUACUAUAUAAUAAAAUAUGAGCUAUAUUAUUUAUACAAGAUAUUUAUACAUCACUCGUUUUAUCUCAAGUUUUACUGUAAAAAAUAUUUUCUUAAUACAAAAAUGGUAGUAGAGACGACAUGGACGUGAGAUAGAAAUUGUUAAUGUGUUGAGUUUUUCUCAUGAGAGCAAGUAGGUAGGCUUAUACAAGAUAUAUUAAUUGUAUCUAUUAACCGUAGCAACCAAUAGUCCAUAAAGAUUUUUUUUUACUACUGAUAUAAAAUAUUCAUCAAUCUCAACAAAAAUUAAUUAUCCUUAAUGAAAUUCUUUCCUCCUAAUUAAGUUUUUCCCUAUACAAAACUAAGACCCAAAAUCUUAUUUAAGAUAACGGAAUUUAUUAUCACCCAGAACCAAUAAUUUGUUGAUAUCUUAAAAGAUAUUUUGAUCUCAAAUAAGAAAGUUACACGUUUUAGUAUACACGUGAAACAAUUCAGAUGCCCAUAAAAAACAUCUGCUGUCUUAAAUUGAGUUCACAAAAAUAAAGACCCAAAACUAGAAGUUUUUAAGACCUAGUGAUCUACUACAGUGCACUUGUGUACCAUUGUAUGCUAGACUAUUAUAAAAGUGUGUUUAUUUACAUUUUUUCGCUGCAGUUUUUUUUCAUGGAUCCCAAUCAUGUGAAAUGAAGGGGAUCCAAAUUUCCGCGCUGCUUGCCUUGAAAGAAAAUCAAACAAGCAUAUGUAUGUUAAAGAUUCGAGAUGCAUAAAAAAAAUGUUAAAGAUUCGAGUGCGCAUGCAUUGGCAACGUGGAGUUGCCCGAUUUUGGUAAUAAGUUGUUUUUAAGAAAUAUUUUUUAUUUCUCUCAAAAAAGUAAAAAAUUGAUGAACAAAAACAAGCGAUUAUUUUCCUAAAAUAAAUUGAAUCAAUUACCAAACACAAUACUAUUAAAUAAAAUAAACGUCGGAAUUCUGAGUUUAAAACACGCAAGGGCCAGCAAAGUUUUAAAACAUGAUGUAAUUAAUAAGGUAGGGAUAUGAUAGACUUAUAAGACUUACUGAGAGCUAUAAAGAGUUGGUAAAGAGGCGCAUCAUAUGUAACUAAGUGGAUAUAUUAUACUACUACAACAUACUAAAUUGUAAACAAAGUUGGAGAAAAACACAAGAUAAUAAACACAAUUCUAAUCAACAAUGAGUGAGUGAUAUUAAAUUUGGCCUCCUUAAAUAAUAUUUUAUGUUUAAGUCUUACAAAGAAAAAAAUGAAAUUAAAAUAAAUUUUUUAUUAAAAAUGAUUAAUUAAAUUUUACAACAUAAAUUAAUUCAUCAAUAAAGUUAAUAAAUAUUUUUAUGUUUACGCUAGCUAAUAUUAGGGUAAAAAGAAAAACACAACAAUAAAAAAUGAUUAUUUCAGUUUUAUUUUCAAUGAUUUAUUUAUCACUAUAAAAAUUGCAUAAAUCAGCCUUUUUUCUUAUCUGUUUUAUUUGAUUACAACAUGUUGCAAACACCCCACCUUGGGAUGCAGAUUGCAAAGAGGUCAUGAAGGGAGAAAUAUGAUGUGAAAUGAGUGAAUUUUUUCACGUGGAAGCCGGGUAAUGUAAAAUUGUGGGGUACCUACUGCCUUAGAUUAGGAAGAAAUUAGCUUGGUCCUCCACCUCAAUGGUCCCUCCCUGCCCUUCUUCUUAGUUCCAGGUAGAGGGGUCGUCUUGUGGACUAAAUCACUGACACUGACUCAAAUUUAACUCCAAAGGCAUGCACCACGCUAUUUUGCUGGUCAAACUCGCAUUAAUUGUGUGGACACCCUUGCUCUGAGUAUAGUAACUAUAUAUAUAUAGUGAUAUUUGUAGGUACUUUAUAACAUACGCGUAUUGAAUUGUCUCAAAGAAAAUUAUUAGUGUGUACAGGUUGUAGCAUUAAGAUAAGGAGUAACCCCCUGAGAAGCGGCUUCUGGAUUGAUCUCAUUGGUUGAGAGCAAUCUAUAAUUGCGAAAACAUGCACAUACAAAGAAUGAUAACAGUUCAAUGCCUUGAAUUAGGCUUAUAUCCAAAGAAUGUAUUAAAACAUUAAGACAGAAAAGUACGUAUUGGGUGGGGUUGAUGUGUCUGAUAAUGUAGGACACUGUGUUCGAAUAUGAGUUCAAAGUUGGAUAAUUUUCUUUUAUCCUUUAUUUGACUGAAAAAAAAAGAAAGCCUCCCAACCCAACUAGCAAGUUAUAGGCUGAUUUUAACAAGGAAAUGAGUGGCUCCUAAUUUUUUUGCCUCACUUUAUACUUGCAUAUAGUUUUUAUAUAAUUAGAACAAAAGAAUGAGAAUAUGGCAAAAAAAUCAAGUUGGUUUAAAAUUACUUUCUAUAGUCAUACUGUACCAGAUGCAAUGAAGAGAUGUAUGGCAUAUGUAUGGAUUUAUAUUAAGUUCAGGGUAGGUCCGUAGGUUUUGGCACAAAAACCACUAAUUAUUUCAAAAAAUAUUUUGAACGUCAAUUUUUAACUGAUGUUUGAAACCAAUCAUGUUGAAAGUGAGAAACUUUUAACAUUAAUUUUAAAACUGGUGUCAAAAUAAUAUUUCAUCGAUAUAGAAGGUAUGUAAAAAAAUAUAAAUCUAUCAAACUUAUUGCAUCGGUUAAAACCGAUGUAUAGUAAGUCUACUGUAUAUAUUGAUUAACUAAGUAAAGCAAGGUAUUAAAUCCUAAAAUCUGAGGCCUCUUAACUUUAAAAUCAUAUAACUGGUUAUAUCUAAAACUGUAUACUACUCAGCUAAAUAAUGAGUAAGCGUCUGUUUGGUAGUUAAGUUAGUUUUAUCUUAUUUUAAUUAGUUAUUUGAUUCACUGCUGAUAGAAAUUAAAAGGACUAGUCUAUCCUACUAUUACCUAUCUUAUAUUAAGUCAGUGUAAUAUUUACCUCACGAGGAGAGUUGGGGUUAGGAAUUAGGAAAUAUAGAUACUCAAAACUAUAAAUCAUUAGUUUUCGAUGAAUAUUAUAGUACCUAUUCGAAGAGAUUUUAUUUAUUUAUAUUUAAAAAUAACGAGGCUUGCAGAUCAGAUUCCUAAACAAGAGAUCUAGAGUUUCUUGACAUAUUCUUAACGUGAAUAAUAACAUUGGUCAUCUCUCGAUACCAAGUAACUGAGUGAGUGGAUUGUUUCUAUGUCUUCUGUAUAUAUAAAUGCUGAACCGAUAAUUCAGUAUUGAGAAUAAAUUUUGCAAUAUAAUUUACCCAGUCUAAAAACCUUUCCAAUUGUAUCUUUAUCCGUAAUUUUCAUUGAGAAAAAUUUCAGCAAACUUUAUUGUUCCUCUUGGUUGGGGACUAUGGUUCAUUUAUAGACUUUAUAUGCUAAAAAUCUUACCUUGGUUUAUAAUAAUUAGCUUUUGUUAUAUACAUUUGAAUUUAAAUCAUUGUAAAUAAAUUUAUGAAUUCACUAAUAUACUGGAUGAUAUGUGUCCAAUCUAGAUGUCUUUCAAGAUUUAGUGUACACGUGUCAAUUACAUGAUUUAGAUAACAUUCAUGUGUCGUUAUAUAAUAUUUCGUAAAUAUUUUAUUCAAUUACAUAUUAUAAUUAUCACCUGUGAAUUAAUUGGACAUAAGAUUUUUUUAGCUUAAUUAGAGAUUUUAAGUUUCAAUUUUAAAUAUGUAAUAGAAAAUAUUUGCCUCAAACAAAAUUAUUUCUAAUAGAAAAUAUUUUUAUAUAAAAAAAUAUUCUAAUUACAGUUGGUUGAUUUGUAUAGGUGUUACUUUUGUGUAAAUUAUAUUUAUUUCAUCAAAACCUGUUAUAGGGUAGAUAUAUCUUAUAAUUGUUUCUAUGCCAAAAGGUAUUAUGAUUUUUUGAAUGGAAUUGAUCUCUCAUAAUAAAUAUAUUUUCAUACGCAUAAAUUAAUAAUUAAUUUUUUUAACCACAUGGGAAUAAGAUUAUGUGUCACACCAUCUUGAUAAAAAGAUUUCAUCUUUAAAUUUUGUUUUUGAUUUCACCUAUUUUUUGUUGAUAACUAAUUGACAAUAAUUUCAUUUUUCUAGAUCGUUCACUUUGUUAAUGGAUUUGAAAUGGGUUCUCUAUUUGAGCAACAACUGUUUUUUUUAUGCUCACCACCAGGAAACAUGGAAGCGAAGUUACGAAGAAUGUUGAAAUUCUUCAAGACAUGGGUGGAGGAGUGAUGGUGAGAAAGAGAAAGCCUCAUCGAGCUUGAAAAUGUUAAAGAGGAAAUGAUAUUAGGCGCGAGAAUGUUCGAAGAAAAAGACGUGAGCAAUGGUUAUUAGAAUGUUGUAGAAGAAUUAUUUUUUUAAUGAGAUUAAACAAAAAGACGAGUUGUUAUGUUUUUCUUGUUUUAAAACUAAAAACAGUAUAUAAAAAUAUUUGUUGCUAAACAUUAACUCCUUAAAUCAAUUUGGUACUUUAAGAAAUUAAUCGUUGAACCUCAACUAGGAAUAUUCACAAAAAAUAGUUGUUUAUUUUAAAAAUUACUUAUCACUAAUUAUCUUUAUUAAUGAAGUUUUUUAAUAUUUUAAAAACAAAAAACUAGAAGUAUUUUAUAGAAGAAAAAAACAAACAAGCCCUUAAAUUUCUAUUACUAUUAAAAAAAUAUUAAGUAAAAGGCAUGAAAUCAAAAUGGACUGAUAUUAAUUAUCAUCUAAUUAAUAAUCAUUUCGGAGUCCCAAAUGUCACUAGAGUUAGACUGAUUUUGUUCCUACCCUCUUAGCUUCAUUUGUUUUAAAUAUUGUUAAAUUUAAUUUAAAUAAAACUAAUUUUAAAUUGUUGGAUGUGACUAAGAUAUGUAUUUAAAUUCAUUUUAAUUGAAUUUAAUAGUCAUAACGAUGUAAAUCUAUUUUAUAUUGUUAUCUAAUCACAAAUUAUAACUGAUUUAACUUUUAAGAUAAUUUUUAAAAGUCAACAAAUUUAUCAUAUAUAAUAAGUUUAUAAAUGAAUGAUGAUAUCAAACUAUUUUACAUUAUUAAUAAUAUUUUUUUAUUUUAUUUUAAUUAUAAUUUUUAGAUUUUAAUAUUUAUACAUUAAUAAUAUAAAACACUUUUAAAUUAUCGUUCAAUCACACAUUACUGUUAAUAUGAUUUUUAAAAUAAUUAUUAUAAAAGUUAAUAAACUUAUCGUAUGAUGAAAUAUGAUUGAAUGAAGGCAUAAAACUUUUUAUAUUAGUGUAUAACCCUGUUCUCUGAUAUUUAUAUUAAAAUUUGUGGACAUUAUAAGAAAAUAAUUCCCAAUAUAAUCUUCAUCAAGAGCAUUUUUUGUGGUGUUCCGCAAGUUCCAAUACAUAUUUGUUUAUUGGCAUCGUAAUUGGGUCCAUUCUUAAUUUCCAAGCCCAGCAUUUAAAUCGAUGGAUAGAGAGAGGAUAUAAAACUAUGUGGUCCUCGCUAUCUAAAUCUAACAGCUAGGUGACGUUGGGCUAUGUUGAUAAAAAAGAAAAAAAAAAAAAAAGACCAGAAGGAAAUGCCCUAAUUCAUUUUUUGACUUUUUUUUUUCCUGAGUUACAUCCUCUUUGAUAAUGAUGUUAGUUUUGGCUGGGCUAUCUCUUUUAUUGAAUCCUCUUUGAUACUGAUGUUAGUUUCGGCUGGGCUAUCUCUUUUAUUGAAUAUAAUUGAGCAUUUUAUUGAAUAAAAUGAUUUAAAAUUUCAAUAAAUUGGUGAUUCAAUUGCAUAAACUCAUAGUAUGUGAGGUUAGAGAUCUCAUAUGUGAUUUUCUACAUUUAAUGCAAAGUUAGUAGUUAUAAUUUCUAUAUCCUAGACAUGAUUUCUUAUUUUCUAACGAGUUUCCAGGUCUUUUAAAAAAAAUUAGUUUCCAGAUACUCGUUUAAAUAUUUUAAACGUGAGCUUGAUAUUGACUAAUAACUUAUUUUCUACAUUUACUGCAUAGUUAGUAGUUAUAAUUUCUAUAUCCUAUACAUGAUUUCUUAUUUUCUAAUGAGUUUCCAAAUAAUCAUUUAAAUAUUUUAAACGUGAGUAUGAUAUUAACGAAUGUUUGAUUUGAUUAUUUAUCAACCCACUUUUAUUUCUCACCGUAUUGUUUUAGAGGAUUUCUUAGCUCUCACCUUGUUUAGUUACUUAGAGUGAGUUUAUUUUAAAGUUGGAUAAAAUUAAUUUUGAUAUAAAAAGUAUUUUUUAAUUGUUGAACAUAUUUAAAAUAAUUUUAAUAAUAAAUUUUACAUUUAAACACAGGUUAUGGUAAGAAAAAUUGAUCAUAAAAUAAUAGUCAAAUGUAUGCUUAUUCUGUUAUUCAUGUACUAAUCCUGAUCUAUUUGUGGAUAAGUCAUAUAGCUUUUAUUUGUUAGAAAGUUAGUUAAUUAGUUAGUAGUUUGUUGCUGAAAAAUAGAGUAAGGUGUUGAGUUGUAAUUUUCAGUUUUAUCAUUUCAUUCUUUAACAAUGAUGUAUAAAUACAAUUGAUCAUUCAAUAAGAUUGUUGAAUGAGUUCAUACAUAUCAAGAAAAGUAUAGAUUUGCAUAUCAAAAACUCUCUCUCUCCUACCUCGUACAUUUCUCUCUUUUCCUACAAGUGUGUGUCAAGGAACUCAUAUGUUCUUGACACUAACAGUGGUAUCUAGAGCAAGGUUCGAUCAAGAAGGGAUCUUUAAGCACAACCAUGGCUUCCAAUGACCAUUUUCUAGCAAAUCUCCCAGUUCUCACUGGCAAGAACAUUAGCAGGUGGCAAGUUCAGAUGAAAGCCUUGUUUAGCUUCCAAGAUUUAACCGAUAUUGUUGAGAAUGGUGUAGAAGUUCCAAGAGACAAUGCUCCUAUUGCACAAAAGGUUGGAUUCAAAGAAUUAAAGAAGCAGGAUUGCAAAGCAUUGGUGAUUCUUCAUCAGUGUGUUGAUGAUACCCACUUUGAGAAGAUUGAAGGUGCAACUACUGCGAAAGAAGCCUGGGACAUGUUGAACAAAGCUUAUGCUAGUGCAGAAAAAGUCAAGAAAGUGCGCUUACAAACCUUGAAGAGACAGUUUGAACUACUGCAGAUGGAAGAGAGUGAAGGUAUUGGAGAUUUUUUCGGUAGAUUACAAGUUCUUGCUAAUUCAAUGAAAGGUUGUGGUGAGAAAUUCACUGAUCUAAUGUUGAUUGAAAAAGUAUUAAGAUCAUUGAAUCCAAAAUUCGACCACAUUGUGGUUGCUAUUGAGGAAUCAAAGGAUUUGGAAUCCAUGAGCAUUGAUGAAUUACAAGGUUCCUUCGAAGCCCAUGAGCAAAGAUUGCAAGAAAGGAAUAAUUGUAUUGAAACAACUAUUCAGGCUCAACAAAACCUAAAGAAAUCUGGAAAUGAAUCAUCCAGAGGAAAGGGAGGCAGAUUCAAGAACUCAAGAGGAAGAGGGAACUAUGGAUCAAGAGAGCGCUCAGAUCAGAAAAACAAUGGCAACCAAAGUUCCAAUAGAGGAAGACAUACUGGAAAUCGAAGGAGAGGAGGAAAAAAUGUAGAUGCAAAUGCCUUUGGUGUUUUGAUGAUGAUCAUGAUGAAGAAAAGCAAAUGAUGCAAAUGAUUCAAGAAUACAAGCCACAACAUCAAGAUGAUCACUAGUACAUUAGGAAGGAAAUUCCUAAUUGAUAUAGCAAAAGGUUUGGCCAAGUAAUGCAUGUUAAAAAGUGUUUUUCAAGAGAUUUACUCUCUGGUAAUCAAUUACCAGAGGAUGUAAUCGAUUACCAGUGGCCAAAAAUGCUUUACAACAGCUACUAAAUAUUUGAAUUCAAAUUUUAGACUGUGUAAUCGAUUACACCAUAUUGGUAAUCGAUUACCAGCAGUUAAUAAACGUUUUAAUUCAAAUAUUAAAGCCUGUAAUCGAUUACACAACUAUUGUAAUCGAUUACCAGAGAAGAUUUUCAAAAAAUAACUUUCAAGAGUCACAUCUAUUCAAAUGGUUUAUGAAUGGCCAUCAAAGGUCUAUUUAUAUGUGACUUGGAAACACGAAUUGGGAGAGAGUUUUUGAUUGCCCAAAAAGUUUUAUCCUCUCAAUAGAUUAAGAGAGUUUUUCUAAAUUGAAAUGUCUUAUCCUCUCAAAGAUUCCUUGGUCAAACGCUUGCAUAUUCAAAUAAUGAAUUGUGAUUGAUCUUCAUUGUACAAUCUGUCUCUUUCAAGAGAGAUUUCUUCUUCUUUUCUUUUUACUUCUGAAAAGGGGUUAAGAGACCGAGGGUCUCUUGUUGUAAAGGAUUCCUGAACACAAGGGAAGGGUUGUCCCUGUGUGAUUCAGACUUUGUAAAAGGAUUUUACAAAGAGAGUGGAAAAUCUCAAGUGGGUUGCUUGAGGACUGGACGUAGGCACAGGAAGUGACCGAACCAGUAUAAAUCAAGUUUGCAUUUCUCUCUUCCCAUAAACUUCUUUUAUUUAUUGCUAUUUAUCUUUUGCCUUUAAAGAAGUUUAUUCUGAAUUAUCUUUUGAGUAAUUCAUAUUAAGGGUGCAUUGUUAAUCUAAAGAGAGAGAGCAAAAUUUAAAUUGGGGAAUAGUUCUUGUUAUCUUAAUUCAACCCCCCCUUCUUAAGAUAACUGAGGCCAUUUGUUUAACAAAAAAGACCUGGGACAAGAAGAAUGUAGAUUGUUACAACUGUGGAAAGAAGGGACACUAUGUUGUUGAUUGCUGGUACAAGGAUAAAAAUCCUACUGAUGAGGCUCAACUUGCAGAAGGAGCAGAUUCAGUUUCUAAACCUGUCUUGUUGAUGGUAACAAACAAGACACCUCAUGAUGACAAGGGUCAAUGGUACUUAGACACAGGAUGCUGUACACACAUGACUGGUCACAAAGACUGGUUCAUGUGUCUAGAUGAAAGGAUGAAAAGCAAAGUGAGAUUUACAGAUGACAACACCAUGCUUGAUGAAGGAAUUAGAAAUGCCCUGAUUUAGAGGAAAGAUGGUAGAGAAACUUGCAUUGAGGAUGUACUUUAUGUUCCAGGCAUAAGCAACAAUCUUCUAUGUCUUGGUCAGUUACUUCAGAAAGGCUUUAAGAUAACUAUGGAGGACAUGAUGAUGCUGGUAUAUGACAAAACCAGAAAUCUAAUCAUAAAAACACCAUUGACAAAAAAUAGAACUUUCAAAGUUGGAAUGCAAGCAUUUGAGCACGAAUGUCUUAGUGUUGUAAGUAACAAAGAAGAAUGGCUUUGGCGCUAUAGGCUUGGACACCUGAAUUUCAGAGAUCUUGCUCAAAUGCACAAGUUGGCACAAGGAAUUCCUCAACUACAACAACCACAGGAGAAAUGCAGGGAGUGCUUGGAAUGAAAGCAGACAAAGAAGCCAUUCAAGAAGUUUAUCCCAGUAAAAUCAACUCAGAAGCUUGAAAUCAUCUAUUCAGAUGUUUGUGGCCCUAUACAAGUUGAGUCCCUUGGAGGAAACAAGUGUUUUGUAACCUUUAUAGAUGAUUUCACUAGAAAGACCUAGAUUUAUAUGAUCAAAAGUAAGAUUAAUUUGUUUAAUAUCUUUAAGAAGUACAAAGCUUAUAUUGAAAAUCAAAGUUCUAGGAAGAUUAAAGUGUUGAGAAUUGAUGGAGGUGGUGAAUACACCUCAAGAGAAUUCCUAGAAUUUUGUGAUGAAGCAAGAAUUGUACAUGAGUUCACACCACCCUACACUCCACAACACAAUGGGGCAGCAGAAAGGAAGAAUAGAACAAUUAUGAACAUGGUCAGGAGCAUGCUCAAAUGCAAGGAUCUGCCACAAAACUUGUGGAGUGAAGAUACUUCCACUGUUGUGUAUGUGCUGAAUAGAAGUCCUUCAAAAAGAUUAAAUUGUGUGACUCCAGAAGAAGCAUGGCAGUCAUCAAACCCAAUGUGAAGCAUCUGAGAAUUUUUGGUGCUAUCUGCUACAAACACAUUCCUGACCAAUUGAGACUGAAACUGGAUGACAAAGGUGAACUGAUGGUAUUUCUUGGAUACCAUGAGACAGGAGGCUACAGGCUAUUUGAUCCAAGGACCAAGAAAAUUGCAAUUAGCAGGGGUGAAGAAUUUGAUGAGUUUAAAACUGGAGGUUGGAACCCGAGUCUACAAGUAAGAAUGCAAGAUUCCUGAUUGAAGUAGAUUAUAGUGGUAAUAAUGUUAUUGUAACAUCAGCCACACCUGACCAAGGAAAUCUGAGAAAGUCAACAAGAGUGACACAAGUUCCCUAGAAUUUGAGAGAUUAUGAAGUUUAUAAAGAUGAUUAAAUCAUUAAAGGUGGUGACCUAGUGCAUUUAACCUUAUAUGCUGGUGAUGAGCCAAUAGAUGUAGAGGAAGCAUUGCAAAAACCUCAAUGGAUUCAAGCAAUGAAGGAGGAAUUGAGCUCAAUUAAGAAGAACAACACAUGGGAUCUUGUGAAUCUCCCAAAAGGGAAAAGACCUAUUGCAGUUAAGUGGGUCUUUAAAGUGAAGAAGAAUCCCAAAGGAGAGGUGGUUAAUCAUAAGACAAAACUAGUAGCAAAGGGUUUCCUGCAAAGAGAAGGUGUGGACUAUGGUGAAAUUUUUGCUCCAGCAGCAAGGAUUGAGACAAUAAGACUAGUAGUUGCACUUGCAAGUCUAAGAAGGUGGUCAAUGCAUCAAUUGGAUGUCAAGUCUAUUUUUCUAAAUGGUCCUCUUAAAGAUGUGUUUGUUGAUCAGCCUCCAGGUUUUCAAGUUGAUGGCCAGGAGGACAAAGUGUACAAAUUAAAAAAAGGCCAUGUAUGGCUUAAAACAAGCUCCAAGAGCUUGGAACAAGAAGAUUGAUGGUGUGCUCAACCAGAUUGGGUUUGAGAAAUGUAUUUUUGAACAUGGUGUCUAUAUUAAAGGAGAGACUACUACAGAUUUAAUUCUAGUGUGCCUCUAUGUGGAUGAUCUAUUGAUCACUGGGAGCAACAUGUCAGAAAUCAACAAAGUCAAGCAGCUGUUGAUGAAGCAAUUUGAAAUGAUUAACCUGGGCUAACUAUCCUAUUUCCUUGUCAUUGAAUUCAAGGAAAUUGAAGCAGGUGUGGUGAUGCAUCAAAGUAAAUACGCAACUGAUUUGCUUGUGAAGUUUCAGAUGAACAAUUGCAAUCCAGUUGCAACUCUAGCUGAAACUGAACUAUUGAUGAGCUUGAAUGAUGAAGGAGAACUAGCAAAUGCUACCUUGUACAGACAAAUAGUUAGCUCACUCAGGUAUUUGUGUAAUAUAAGACCUGACAUAGCUUACAAUGUUGGCACUAUAAGCAGGUUUAUGAAGGCACCUAAGAUUUCUCACAUGAUGGCUACAUAAGGAUCUUAAGGUAUGUGAAUGGCACAACUGAUUAUGGAGUGUUGCUACCUUUUGGACAGAAUGAAUCAAAUCAAGAUUUGCUUGGAUAUACUGACUCAGAUUGGAGGAGGGACAAGGAUGACAGGAAGAGCACUGCAGCCUAUGUGUUCAUGUAUGGUGGAGCUCUAAUCUCCUAGAGCUCGAAGAAAGAAGAUCCAAUAACAUUAUCUACUUGUGAAGCUGAGUAUAUAGCAGCUUCCCUUGGAAAAUGUCAAGGUCUGUGGUUGAGAAAAAUGUUGAAAGAAAUGAAGAUUAAAAAAAAAGGAACCAGUUUUCCUGCUGAUUGAUAAUAAGUUAGUAAUCAAUCUUGCUAAGAACCCAGUAGAUCAUGGGAACAACAAGCACAUUGAAACUAGGUAUCAUUUUAUCAGGGACAAAGUUAACAAAGGAAAGAUCAAGCUCAUCUACUGUAAAUAAAAAGAUAAUCUUGCUGAUUUACUGACAAAACCAUUGAAGAAAGCCAAGUUUGAAGAAUUGAGAAGUAAAUUUAUGAUUAAAGCUAAUUGAGGAUCAAAAUUAAAGGAUGGUGUUGUGGAUUAUUCAGAUAGCUUUCAUUUGUUUAGAAAGUUAGUUACUUAGUUAGUAGUUUGUUGUUGAAAAAUAGAGUAAGGUGUUGAGUUGUAAUUUUCAAUUUUAUCAUUUCAGUCUUUAACAAUGAUGUAUAAAUACAAUUGAUCAUUCAAUAAGAUUGUUGAAUGAGUUCAUACAUAUCAAGAAAAGUAUAGAUUUGCAGAUCAAAAACUCUCUCUCUCCUACCUCAUACAUUUCUCUCUUUUCCUACAAGUGUGUGUCAAGGAACUCAUAUGUUCUUGACACUAACAAUUCAUCAGUUAGCUUUACAUUCAGUUUUUAUUUGAUUUAAUUAAUUAUUAAAACUACAUUAUCUUUAGGUAGUCCUUGUAUUUCAAUGCAAUUAAUUGAAGUUUAGUAACCACUCCUUGUCAUUUUAUGUAAAAUGCAAUUCUACGUUUUUUUUUUGCAGAUUAUGGUUGUCAUCAAUGCCAUGGAGAUUGCUUAUUCUAAUAAUUGAUCUCACUUGUGGUUGGAAACUGAUUCUAGCUUACUGGUUAAAGCUGCGAAUGAUCCUCAGUUGAUUUCUUGGCCUCUACAUAAUUGAUGGUUAAACUGUUUUAUCUCUAUCUGCUAGAAAUUUUAGAAUUUCUCAUAUUUACUGAAUUGUCGUGAAGAUAACACUGCGGACAUAUUAGCCGCUUUUGGUGCACAUAAUUUUGGGUAUAUUUGGUGGGAUUCGCCACCUUCUUUCAUUUUUUGGGAUCUUCUUAGGUAUAGACAUAGAUUACCUGUUAGGAUAAAUAUAUAUGUUUAUGAUUUAAUUCAUCAUGUUAUCAAUUUUAGUAAAAAAAUUAUUCUUUAUUUUAUUAUUUUAUUAAAUUGUUAAUUUGACAAAUCUUUGAUUAAAAUUAGAGACAUGUUAUUAUGAUAGAGAUUAUAUAAUGAGAAACAAGUGAUUUGUAAUUUUAAUUUAAAUUGUUCUUGAUCGUAGGAUUAUUGUGAAUAAGAUAUCAAUAAUCUAGAUAGAUUAAUAUACAUGUAAUGGUCUUUAUUAGAUAAAGAUUAAUAAAUCUCAUUUACUAAGUUGCAUGUACGAAUGAUGUAUACAUGGAUGUCCUCAUUAAACUGACUCAAUUGAGAAUGAUUAAUUGUUAAUAUUACCUUAAGUUAUCAAUAGGAAGUUCUCAAGAAAAAAUAUAAUAGUUUUCUUUGAUAUGAGAUUAUCAUAGUAAUUAAUAAGUUAUUAAUUAUAUUUUAAUUUUGAACACCUAAUGUAUUAGGGCACUAGUUGAAUGAAUAUUGGAUAUAAUUAAAUACUUGUAAAAUUAAUGAUUAAUAAUGAAGGAAUCCAUCAACUCUAAGUAAUGAGUUUGAGCUCUACGAUGAAAUUAAGACCUUGAUCAGGACAAUUGAAUGAAAGAAUAAAAGAGUUUCUUAAGUCAUUCAUUGAUUAAAUAUAAUGUGUUAACUGAUUAGAAUUUGACAUUAAUACUAUACUCUAGAAUUAACCUUAAGUUGUAAAUAAUGAAAGUAAAUAUUACAUUAUUUUUCUAUUAGUUCUUGAAAGUAAAAAAAAGUUAUUUCAUGUUAUCUGGAUGUUGAUGAGUGUUGCUAGACGCCUACCUUGAUUAGUAAAUUAAUUAUGAUUAUUUUAUUAUCAGUUUGAUAUUGAACCAACGGGGUCACACACAAAUGAGCGUUUCAAUCUUUGCAAAAAAAAAAAAAUACUUUAUUUGAUAAAGUUGUCCAUAAAAUAAAAAUAAAAAUAAGAUUCUAUUGCUAUAUAUUAGGAUCAGAUCAUGUGAUUAAUUAUCAUAAUUAGUCAUGUGAUUAUUUAAGAAAUUUCUUUGCCUUAUACUAGGAAGCUUCUUAAGAUAAAAAGAUAUGAGAUAGUUUUUAUUGAUAGCAGAUACUGGUCUCGAUGUGGAUGUGUUUUCACACUAUUGAAGAAACUUUUUGUUAAUUCAAGAACGCGCGUUCAUGUACACAUAUAUUUUUCUCUAUUUAAUAUUUUUGAAUGCAAAAUACAUUGUUUUUGCACUAGCUAGGUCUCAAACUAGCUACCUACAACUUAGUUAACGUUGCAUGAGCAACUGAACCAUUCAAGGUUCUUUGAUAUUUUUUCCCUAUAUCGUAUAUGUUUAUGAUUUUUUGUUCAAUUUUGCAAUUUGUGCAAUUUUGAUUUAUCUUAUGCAUGAAUCUAUUCUUCGAUAUUUUUUUCCCUAUAUCUUAUAUGUUUAUGCUUUUCUGUUUACUUUUGCAAUUUGUGCAAUUUUAAUUUAUCUUAUGCAUGAAUAUAUUCUGGAAAAGUUUAUUAUGUGCAUAUAUGUGUGUGUGAAAUUAAAUGCAUAAUGUUAUGUUUCAAUUAUGCAAUUAUAUAUGAGAAUUUUAUUCAUCAUUGUAUUAUAUCUUGAUCUUGAAGUGCAUAAUAUUAUUUAUUUUCAUAUGAUUAAGUUUUAUGUCUAAGUGAUCUUUAUAAUUUUGAUUAAUUAUGGAUUAGCCACAACAUCUAUAAUUUGAUUAAAAUUAUAUAUUAAGUCGUUUAAAGAUCAUAUAAGGAAUUACACAUAAUAUUGUGAUUAAUUGUACUUUAUAUAAUGAAUUUUAUCCCAUAGGAAUUUUUAUUAUAUUUGUUUAAUUAAUUAGGAAAAAUUGUCAUAUUAUUUUUCAUGGUUUACCCACAAGGAUCAUGAGGUGAUGCAUAAUUUGACAGAAUGACAGUUUUAUCAUAAAGUAAAUAUUUGCGAUAGAAAAUCAAAUUAUUUUCAUGUUGUACCCAUAAAGCAUGAAUUUGAGUAUGUAAUUUGAUUAUUCUAUCAUAAAGUUUAAUUAUAUCUUAUUGAAUAAAAGAUUUAGCCCACAGACAAGUUUUAUGUCACAAGAUUCAUUUUUUUGGUAUGUUUACAUUGGUAAAAUAUACAAUUAAGAUUAAUAUGUCUCAAAUUUUGACAUAAGCCUUUGGAUUUAUGUAGCUCCUCAAAUUAUUAGUUUUUCUGAUAUUCAAUAUGAUGUUCCUGAACUCAAAGGAGAUAACUAUAAGAUAUGGAAUGAGAGAAUUCUUCUAUAAUUGGGGUGGGUGGAUGGACAUAGACUAUGCUAUAAGGAAAGACGAACCACUUGCAAUCAUUGAUGAAAGUAACCUAGCUGCUGUUACGCUAUAUGAGCGGUGGGAGUGAUCCAACCAACUCAACGUGAUGUUCAUUAAAAUCAAAAUCUCGGCUGGGAUACAUAGUUCUAUCGCCCAACAUGAAAAAAUCCGAGACUUGCUUAAAGCUAUUGAUGACCAGUUCAUCACUUCAUAUAAGGCUUUAGCAAGCACCCUGGUCAUGAAGUUCUCCUCUCUCCGACUCACCAGUGUGAAAGGUGUGCGUGAGUACAUAAUGCAAAUGCAAGAUAUUUCAUCUCAACUUAAGAAACUAGAGAUUGAUAUGUCUGAGUCCUUCUUGGUGCACUUCAUUCUAAACACCCUUCCACUAGAAUAUGGGUCAUUUAAGAUUUCCUACAACACACGUAAGGACAAAUGGUCUAUCAAUGAAUUAAUGACCAUGUGUGUUUAGGAAGAAGAAAGGCUUGUAAUGGAGAUGAGUGAGAGUGCAUUGCUGACAACUGCUUGUGGGAGGAGUGUUGAUUCUGAAAAUCAACAUCGAGGUACAUUUCCAUGAUGGCUGGUGGAGCUAUUUCAUGGAGGAGUACUAAGCAGACUUUAGCUGUUAUUUCUACCAUGGAAGCUGAGUUUGUCUCUUGCUUUGAGGCUAUGUCACAUGGUGUAUGACUUAAGAGUUUUAUUUCUGAGCUAAAGAUAGUUGAUACUAUUUCAUGGCCUUUGAGAAUUUUUUACGAUAAUUCAGUUGUUGUCUUUAUGGCUAAGAAUAACAAAAGUGGAAGUCGAAGUAAGCACAUCGACAUUAAGUACUUAGCCAUUAGAGAAAGAGUAAAAGACAAGAAAGUGGUUAUUGAGCAUAUGAGCACUGAGUUGACGAUCGUUGAUCCUUUGACGAAGGGCAUGCCACCGUUUAAAUUCAAGGAUCAUGGAGAGAGAAUGAGACUUGGUUCCACUUUAUGAUUGUAUACAUACAAGUUAGAGUUGGAACUUUUAUAUUGUGAUAUUUUCUCAUAUUCAGGUGCAUAUUGAUUUAUUUGAGAAAAAUUUUGUUUUGGACCAAGAAUAAACAUUGAGUUUAUUCAUUAAGUUUUAUUACCACAUUGAGUAUAUUACUUGAGAAAUUGAACAUUUUGUAAUACAUGAAUGAUAUUACUUGUUGUAAGAGGAUUUAUCGCUAUGAUUUGUAUGUUCAUUUCUUAAGAAGAUUGAGCAUUGACUUAUUUUAAUUAAUGAGUCAAAAGUUUAGAUCAAGUGGGAGAAUGUAAUAAUUUUGUUAAGAUUGGUUUGUAUGUUUUGGAAGGUCAAGUGCUCCAUCAAUUUUGGAGUUGAAAAGUCAAAUAUUAAAUGACUACUAAUGGUGGUAAUGACUACUAAUGGGUGGUAAUGACUAUUAAUUGAUGAUAACGACUACUAAAUGCACCCUUGCACCCUUGAUAGUAGAAUACCUAUAUAUAGUACAUGUGUUUGGUCCCCCCGAGCUUGCAUCUUCUUCUAUUUUCGUCUGAUACACCAUCUAUAGGGAGUUUGAAAGAACCAAAAUAAACUAACUCUUUCAUGACAAUGACUGAAUGUAUAUUUUAAUUUUAUUUUCCACAUUUGUUAAUGACCCUUGUUUUGUUUUGUUAUUUGUAAUAUCACAUAUUUGAUAUUUUAGUCUUAUAGUGACAUUAUACAACAAAAUAUAAAAUAUUAUUAAAAAAUAAAAGAAUUUUUUUGAUGAGUUUAUUGGUUGGAGAUGAUCUCAUUUUCAUUUUUUACAUUUUAUGUGAUUGUUACUCAUCUCUACUGACUAUAGUCUAAAUAUGUAAAAAUAUUUAUUUAUUAUUUAUAGUAAUCUUAUACUACUUGAGAAAGAAGAUUUCUCCAAGAAGAUAAAGAUAUAUGAUGGCGGCUUUACAUCAAAUAACUUCAGUGCAAGCUGACUUUACAUCAUAACAAAUUUUUCAAUUAAUUUAAUUUAAUUUUUUUUGUCCAUCAAAAUCUGUUCUAUAAAUCCUAAAAUAACAUUCCAUUUAGAAUGGCGGCUAGGCUUAGUUAAGCCAAGACACAAGCCAGGCCCAUCCACAAAUCUUUUCGAUUUCGUAUUCGUGUUAUCCACUAAUUUUUCUUGGCUUAUGAUGGGAUCGAAUAGAAAGGGAAAGCAAAACCUAUUUACUUUGUGACAGGUAACCAUUGCUUCUUAACGGUGACUGUUGCAAGGGACCACCAUAUAUUUGAGUAUAAUGAGUAUAUUUCCAUAACACAAUCAUAUGAACGAAAUUGGAGACAGUUGCAUGUAUUUGGCUGCAUUCGCGUUUGAAAUUAAUGCACACAUUUAAAAGCAGUUCUUUUUGUUGUUAAAUUCAAACCGUGCCAUCAGUCUAAUUGUGACUUGUAACCGAUCGGGGUACCAUAAAUUUUGCGAAUAGAAUAAUUUAAAAUUAUUUUUCAUUCUGGUUCAAUAUUGGUACUAAGAAUAAAGACCAUUAAUCUAUUCUUUCAAAAUUAUUGGAUAUAAGUUUUUUUCUCAGCUAGCUUUUAAUGUGAUAUUCAUGUGGGGAGUGUUGAAUUUUCUGGAUCAGCCGGCUAUGAGCAGGUUUAUUGUAAGUAUUAUUGAUGGCAACUAAUAACAUAUAAUUUAAUUCUUUUUGGUGAAGUAGUACUAGUACAGUGUAGAAAUCCAGAUUAUAAUUUUUUAUUGUACAUCAUAUAGGUCAUAGAUGUGUAUUUAAUAUGUGGGCCUAUAUAUAUUAUUUAUAGUGUACUAUAAAUUAUUUGUAAAGAAUUAUCCUUUUGGAAGUGGUUUUAUAUAUAAAGAUUAAUUUAUUGAGAUGGAUGACAUCUAAUUUAAUAUAGAUUUUGAAAUGUGCAAAUACUAAAUAUUUUAUUUAUAUUUUUUAUGAUAGACCAAAAUAUAUAAAAAUAAAGAAACUUCAGAAGUUUUUUUUUUCAUGAAAACUUUAGAAGUUAUUACUCUUUAUGAACAAGUAUAAAGUUUAAAAAGUCAUUAAUUAGAUUAAUAAUUAUAUACUGGUCAUUAAAAAAAUAAUUAUAUACUAAGUUUUAUACUGUGCCAAUCAAUUAUAAAUUGGUAGAACUUCUAACAUAAUUAUUAUAAAUGUUAGCAAAUAUGGGUAAUUAAUUAAGUUGAAACCUAACUUGAUGCAACAGUUGGAUAUUUGUGAAUUCAAACAUUGGAUAUUUAUCAAAGAGAAGUAUCUUCUACACAUUCAUGAUAUUUUCUUCGAUAGAAUUUGACUUUUGUGCUUCAUGAGAUGGGCUCUUCUUCAGUGCCCACUGCCAAAUAUCCUCAUUUUAACUACACUUUGACUUGUCCUGCCAGCCAGUCAUAAUUGAGUUGAGCUGAGUUAGUUUGUUCAAGAGACGUGAGCUAACAAAUGUAGCUAGAAAAAAAAAACUUGUAAUAUACAUUAGAAAUAGUAUGUAAUAAUGUAAUAUCUUAAAAAUUAAAAUUAAAAAUAAAAUAUAAUACGAGAAAUUAUCUGUCAUCAUGCAAUUAGUUAUAGGAAAAUUUCAUGAAAUUGUCUGUAAUAUAUUUUUUUUCAAAAUCUUAUUGGAUUCAUAUUAAUAUUUUAAUCAUUACUUGAUUUCAGUAAUUAUUUAAAUAUAGUAAAAAUUAUUUAAAUGUGAUCUUAACUGCAUGUACACAUGUUAGAAACCAAAAUGACAAUAAAUUAUAUAUAUUAAGUUUAGUGAAGUAGAUAAAAAUAACUAAAAAUCUUAACGAUUAAUUUAUUUAAUUUUUUUUAAUUUUAGAGACUAAUAUAAAAACGCAUCACACUCUCCAUAACUAAAAUGAUGAUAUACUCAGUUUAAUUUUAGCUAUGAAUCAAGCAUUUCAAACUUCAAAGGUUACCCGAACUUGAGACAAAUCGAUUAGACUCAUUCAUGGUACGAUAUUAUAUAUUUUACAUAAAUUUCUUUACAAGUAAUCCAUUUGAAAAUAGGUAGGACAACAACACAAUUACCCAAUCCAAGACCAAGGCAAAUAAAGGUUUCCAGAAACAAGUUUUUAUAUGCUUUAAUCUCUAUUUUUUCUUUUCUUGGAUUAUAUUAACUUUACCCGAUAAUCAUUGAAGUUGAACUAUUAACUUUUGUGGACGAAGACUAACCAAGAUUGGCUAUGCCUAUUAGAGUGGUAUUUGGUGUACUUUCUCUUUCUGCAAUCGCACACGUUUAACGAAACUGAAAAUUUCACGCAUAAAAGACAUUAAAAAAGAGAGGUUAAUUAAGCCCAAUUUAAUUACUAUUAAAUCAUGUAACUCCGUAUUGUGGUUAGUUAUAGACUUAUAGUUCCUUCCAACACAAGUAGUAGAUUCAUUUUAGAUUUGCGUAAUUUCAUGCUAUUGGUUCACCUAAUUGACUUUAUUUUCUUUUUAGACUAUAGCCUUUUUUUUUUUUUUACAGAUCUUUAGACUAUAACCUAUUCCAUAGGUUUAGGUCGUAAUCAAAAGUGUGAAACAAUAUGAACACUUUCAACCAGGAAUCUGGAAAGUUAACUCGAUUAUUCCUGUGUGUGACCGCAGCCUUGUGCUUUGAUAAAUUACUCUUCACGAAAUGAAGGUGAUUUUUUUUAGUAAUUUUAAAAUAUUUAUAAAAAAUUAACGUGUGACACUAAAAUUGAAUUUAUAUAAUUAAAUUUUACUUUUUGACCAAUAUGUAGUACCUUUUCUUUUUUCUUUUGUUACGACAAAAGUUGGGUUAUACCGAUAAUAGUAGUCAAUAUUUUCAUGUUAUACUGCAGGUACACGGAAAUGCAGGUCAAAUAUUAAAAUAUUUAAUUGUAAAAAUUUACGAGAAUAUUAAUUUAAUUAAUACAUAUUUUGUAUAAAAAUAUAAAGUGUACGCUUAAAUUCUUUAAUUUAAAAAAUUUAGAAUUUAUUUAAUGGAUAACAAAUGUUUUGUUUGUAAUUUAUACAUAUCUCAUCAAUGUCAAUCUAAGAAAUUUUAGCAUUAAUCAAAUAAAUUAAUUAAAAAAAUAAAUAUAUUUUUUAAUUGAAAAUGAAAUUUGGCCUAAAAACUUAUAUAAGAUGUGUGAGAACACAGAUUGACAUGUGAUUAUAUAUAUAAAAAGCGGUAUAAUGUGUUUUUGUUGUUGAUGUUUUUCACUUUUAGUUUCCAAGAGAAGUUUGAUUGGUUUUUUAGUAUUAAGUAAUAACAUGACAUUUACAUUGAUACUCGUAUGAAUUGUAGUAUGACAUAUAAGGAUAAAAAAAGUUAAAUCAUUUGACAGUUAUUAUAAUCUAACCUAUGUCAUGCUCAAGUCAAGUCACACUUUUUUAAAAAAAUAAAAUAAAUCAGCUGAAUAUUUUUAUUAAUGUUUAUUUAAAUUAAAAAGUAAGAUUCAUCAGUAAAAAAGUCUUUUAAGUCUAACAAAUCAACCUAUUCAAAUAAAUAUAAAUAAAUAUUUGUUGUUAGUAUUAUUAUACCAAAUUUUUUAUUAGGAUAAAAAAUAUUAAAUUUGUUACAAUGUAUUAAAAUUUUAUAUUUACUCACCUUUUUAAAUGUUAAAGCAUGUUGAAUUACAUAAAAUUCAAACUUAAGCUUAUAUUAUAUUGAAAGAAAAUUUUAUUUCCUAUACAUAUAUGCCUUAUUAUAAAAUAUAUUUUUAAAUUAGUUAUAAUGAAUGACAAAAUUUUAAAAUAUGCCUAUAUUGUAUAAACAAAUUAAACUCAAUUCUUAUAAAAGUUAACAUACCUAUUUUUUUUUAUCUCUAUUAUAAUGUUAAAUUAUCACAAACUACAACUUUAAAACAAAUUUAUAGGUCAGAUUAAACUUUUAUAUAAGUCAAUUAGGUCUUUAAAAAAAUGCCUAUAUCAAGUAAACAAGUUAUAAGACCGAGAGCCAUAUAUUUUUAAGUAAAAUUAACCUCAGGCCUAACAAAAUUUAUAAUGUGUGUGGAUUGAUAGGAUAAAACUAUAAUGAGUGUAAAAUCAUACUAAGUUCAUUAUAAAACCAAUUAUUAAUUGCUUCUAAAAUCAGUGAGUAUAACUCAACCAAUUCAAACACACAUUUAUACUGUUUUAUUCAAUUUAUACCUCUAUUAGUCUAAUUUUACCCCUAUUAGCAUGACAAUGAUUUUAAACUAUUUCAUGCUAAAAGUCACUAUAAUAUUUCUUGCAAAACUGUUAGAUGCUAUUAUUUGAAUUAUUCUAUACUUAGUAAUUAAUUUUUACAUAACUUAUAUUAUUAUUUUACAUUAUAAUUUAUUUUUAUUACAUGUUCACAUAAUUGCUGUAUUAAUCAGUUAAUUAAUAAAUUAAUAUUUUACCCAAAAUAAAUCAUGUUAUUAUUUUUUUUAUUUUUGGUUAUCAGAAUAUUUACAACAACUUUCAAUCAACUAAAUUAAAUCCUCUUGACUCAUAUUAUUAUUAUUUAAAUAGUAAUAAUAAUUUCUCCCUCCCUCUCUUUCACUCUCCAGCACGGUGGUAGUUGGACGUUAUUCAAAUUGGCCCACCUAUUUGAGAGCUUCUUUAUUUUGUUUUUUACUUCUACCAUUUUUUUUAAUGCAUUUUUUGGUUCAAACCCAGAGUUUCUGAAAGAGAUGGAAUUCCAACAUCAUCAACACCUACAUUUUGUGCUGCAUUUUAUUGUGGCGACCUGGUCAAUUGGUCACACAGACAAGACAAGACAACACCCUCUGCUGUUUCAUUUUCACGUUGGUACUUAACCUGUGUCACACACCCAUGUGCUACUUUCUGAUUUGUUCUUAGUCUUUGUUUCAAAGUUUGAGCCUUUUUGCAUUUUGGCUUCAGGUUUACUUCUCUUUCUCAGGUAUUAUUCUCUAGUUUCAAAGGGUCGUUUCUGAAUUUGGUUUCUGCUUUAGUUUAAUAUAGCUGCUGGGAUUGUUUUUGGACUUGAGAGUUAGAGAUGCAUGCAUGAGGUUGUUUUUGGAUUCAUUUCAAUGAAUGUUUCUUUUUGUUUUUAUGAUAGGCAAAUGUUAGUUUGUUAGAAUGUUAGUUUUUGUUUGCAGAAGUGAUCAAAUCCAUGACCUUUCUCUUUCUCUCCUUCUCCCUUAACCAUCCAAUCCACCUUAUAUCUCCAUGAAUGUUUCUUACUUGGAAUGAGAUAAUAUUAUCAGCAUGAUUUCAGCACAAAUAUGCCUUGAUUGCCUGCAUCAUCGUGAAGCAAAUUUGUAGGAAUCUGUUUGGACUUAGGAGCUGAUUGACAAGAAUCUUUUUGUAUAUAUCAAUGAAGGGUAGAGAUUUCUCUCGAGUUUUCACAACUUGGUUUUUGUUGUUAUCAGGGAGUGAAAAGUACACCGCUUAGUUCAUGAGAGAUAUUUGAGUGUUCUAGUGAUUUUUUGCAUUCCUGGGAUGCAUCUUUCAAAGAGUUUCAAGCAUGGAGUUGUUUUCCUCUUGUGGUUCUGCUGCUAUUUGCUGCAUGCUGCUGGGCAGAAUAACAUCACUGAUCCCGUUGAAGGUAUGUUUUUCUCCUUUUUUUUUGGUAUUCCCUUAUUGCUUGGCUUCUAUUAGGCAUGUACUCAAUAUUAAAAACCAUUUGUGUAUCAACUUAAGUUUUUGGUUAGUUGGUUCAUGACAUGAUAUAAGAGUCUCUAUAACUAAAUUGUUUAGUUUAGAGUUUGAUUCUUGUCUUCCCUAUUCCUCUAAGUACAAUAGAAUUAAAAGGUUGAAUUUAAGCAUAGGGUAGGUGGACUUGUGCAUUAACCAUGCUUUAAGCUCAAAGAACCCUUGUGUGAUGGGCAAGUUAGGGAUGUACUAUUUAAAGACAUUCAUUUCACCCAUCGACUUAAGCUUUUGAGAUACUUGGUUCAUAUUGCUAGCUUCUCUUUAUGGUAUACACGCGUUUGUGGAAGUGGUAGCUCUUCUCUUGGGGAGCACUUUCUUUAAUAUGCCAUGGCAUAUAUUAAUAAAAGUUUCCAGCAUAUUAAUAAUUUCUCCGUGUAUAAUUAUCAUCUAAAAGAUCACUAGUAAAAUUACUAAAAGUACAAAAUCUGCAGAUACAAUAUUCAUGUGUCCCUUACAAGUUACAACAAUAAUAUCCAUUAUCCAGAUUUAUUACAAAAUUUGAGAAAUGAAAAUAGAGAACCCAUUGCUACAAUAAAAGGAAAAAAAAAAUGGGCACAAGCUGUAAACUAUUGCUUAUAAUGUGUAUUGUUUUUUUUUUAUCCGCAAAAAUAAUAUUAUAUAUUAGAUGAGUUUCAGUACAAGACUGUGAUUUUUACAAUCACCAAUGAAGUCUCCCAUGUGGAGGUUUGGUUCUCUAAUGAUGAUAUGAUGUUCUUCUCAUUUGAAUUAACAUGCAGUUGACGCAUUGAGAGCCAUUAAGAGGCGUUUGAUUGAUCCUAAUGGAAAUUUGAGCAAUUGGGAAGAUAGAGACCCGUGUACAUCAAGGUGGAAAGGAGUUUUGUGCUUCAAUGAAACAAAAGAGGAUGGCUAUCUGCAUGUUGAAGAAUUGUAUGAAUUCUAUCUUCUACUCCACAUUUCUAUUUCAUAAAUGACAUAAUAACAUUUUCAGGCUUCCAUUUCCUUUGUCUAUCUUUUAUUAAUCUCUUCUUUUAUGUUGCAAAUAGAUUAACAGUCUUAUGUUGUGGGUCAAGCACUUCCUUGCUCGAUAGUUUAUGCUCAGUAUAGUAGAAAUAAAUAUAAUCACCUAAGCAGGAUGAGAAUUGUGGGCCAAGUGUACUUCUUUAUGAUGAUCUUUUCAGCAUAAUUUGAUGAGUUUACAUGUCUUGAUCAAUCUAGUUCAUCAAUUGCCUUUAAUUCAAUGCUAUACUAUUUAAUGCAGAGCUAUCAAUCUCUGUUUGAGAAUUGAGAGCUUUCUUUUUUCACUGCUACUCCCUUAUUAAGUUUGUUUUUUUUCUUGUCUGUAGGCAAUUACUGAGAUUGAACUUGUUCGGAACUUUGGCACCAGAUCUUGGCAAAUUAACUUAUAUGAAAAGAUUGUAAGACAGUAUUUGCUUUGAUUUUAGAAAUGGCAAAUAUUCUGAACAAUUUUCAGUUUAGCAUUAUUAGAUGCCAUUUUCGCUUGUGUAGUAGAUUUCACUCAUUUGAGUGUUUUCUCCCUUUUGCAACUUUUAAUUACCUUCUUCCUCUGAUCCAUGCUUUCUAAAGGAACUUUAUGUGGAACAACAUAAGUGGGAGUAUUCCAAAGGAAGUUGGCAAUAUCACAUCUUUGGAACUCUUGUAAGUUGAGCCUUCCUGUUAGGCAUGUAUGUUAGUCUUCAUAUGAUUAAAUACGUCAGUUGUUAUUACCUUGGUAUAUUUUUUUUAAAACCAUUUUUAGACUUAUUAAUGCACAAACAUCCUUGUCAUUGCUAUAAUUCAGAAUUGAUCUUAUAAAUAAUUGAAUUAAACACUGUUUCCUAUAGGGUAGAAAGAUAAAUUUAAAUGGUUCUACAAGUAAAAGAGUGGUGAUUUAACAAGAAGAGUUACAUCAUCUCUGCAUUCUUUCUCAUCAAAUAUAUUUUUUCACAGGCUUCUGAAUGGAAAUAACUUAACAGGAUCACUACCAGAGGAGAUUGGCUAUCUUCCAAACCUGGAUAGAAUACAAAUUGAUCAGAACCAAAUAUCCGGACCUAUACCUACGUCAUUUGCAAACCUGAACAAGACAAAGCACUUGUAAGGUUCUUAACAAUGAAAAAGUAGUUAAAGAAUGACCACUCUUGUUCUUUUUACACGAACUCUUUUAUUUCUCAACAUUUUUGUUAUGACCAAAAAAAUGGAAAGAAAAUAAUGUUUAUCUUUUUCACCUCCAAUGGAGCAGCCACAUGAACAAUAAUUCACUUAGUGGACAAAUCCCACCGGAGCUUUCCCGAUUACCAAAGCUUGUUCACCUGUAAGUUGGUUAUUAGUAAUCAUUGACAUAACUGCAGCUACUAACAUAUUUUCAGUGUUUUUUUAAUCCUUAAUUAUCAUGCCUAUAUCUUGUUCACAAGAUGCAUCUCUGGCCCUGCAGUCUUCUCGACAACAACAACUUAUCUGGAUAUCUUCCCCGUGAGCUGGCUGAUAUGCCAAGCUUACUUAUCAUGUAGGUUUCCUAUUCUUUAUGUAAUAUAUGAGUGUCAGCGCAUAUAGUUUUAUUUUAUUUUGGAUGAAAAAACACAUAGAGCUAGUUUGGAGAGACAUCUCAACAAGAACUUGCAGGAGUGGUGAAAAUAAAAUGAAUAAUUUUUUUAUGGUGUUCUGCUUAGUACUACCUCUGCCCCUAAAUGUAAGACCCAUUUAACUAAUUCACAAUUAUCAAGAAAGUUAGUUGAUUUAGUUAGUAGCAUUAAAUUUGUUAACAAUUUGUAAUAUUUUUUUUUUAAAUUACUCUUAAAAUUAUUGGACCCCUAAUUAAUUAAUGUGUACUAGACUGCUAGUCAUCUUUUUCAAUCUUCAUAGACACAUAGAAGGAAAUAAGGAUUUAUCUAACUUCGAAUAUAUGAAUAUAUCUCAGAAUAAUUUAGAGUAUCUUAGAUUAUCUUUAGGAUUGAUUUCCUCGUUUAAUUAAGAUUAGAUAAGGUUUAGUACUUUAUGUUUUGCAUGCUGUGACACAUAUAGCACACCAUAUUAAGUUAAUAUCAAUUUUGGAGUGUUUAGUCUCUACUCUCUACUUUUGCUCUCUAUACACGUAAAACCCCUAUAACUUCAACAACAAUUGUGUUACUAUAUGUUUAGAAUAUAUACUGAUCGGAGAAGUUGCAAAGCUAUGGAUUUUCCUUCAAUGCUGUUGGAAAACCACCCUAUUGUGGUCACCUCUAGCUUGCCGUAAUUACGGUCUCUUUGGAACACCUUCAUUCCCUAGCUCCGAGGAGGUGUGCUUAGUCCCACAUUGACUAUAGAUAUUGCUAAUAUAAUCCAUAUGAAGUUUGUGUUAUAUUCACUAUAGAUGUUGGUUUUGUGGUACAGGUAGACCCUAAGCCUAAAUUCUAAUAUGGUAUGUAUCAAAGAUUCUCCUAGAUCCAUUGUUGGGCCACUCACAUUGCCAUCUUUAGACCCAUAGCCUUGGGCGUGAGGGUGUGUGUUUAGUCUCACAUCCACAAGAGAUAUGGCCAAUGUAGCCCUUCAUAAAUCAUGGACAAUCCCUCUCUUUAUAAGUUGAUUUUGUGGGGUUGAGUUAGGCCUUAUGCCUAAAUUCUAAGAAAUGUCAUUUGAUAGUUAGUUCUAGAUCAAUCUUUGGUUGUGAGAAGUGAAAUUUCUAGGCAAGUGGUGGAAAAUGUAGGACAGGAACACUGAGUGCUUUGCCAGCUAUGUAAUCUAUCAUAGAUUUUUGAUACAUCAAUAUUAAAAAAUUGAUACUUUCGUCAUUGUAGAACUUUUUAAUCCUUUUUUUACAUUUACUGCUUUUAAAUUGUUGUCUGUUUCAACAAAUAUUCCUUGUCGUGUAAUUGGGUUUUUGAAGUGUUUCUUUAUCUUCUUGUUCUUGCAGUCAACUUGAUAACAAUAACUUUGAGGGAAAUAGCAUUCCUGAUACAUAUGCCAACAUGUCAAAGUUGUUGAAGAUGUAAGUGAAUUCUAUUAUUCCUUCUCUUUAAGUAGGUUUUGCAAAUGCAAUGAGUGAAGUUGAGGUUCCUGAGGCUUUAUUUUAAAUUUUAGGUGUGAUGUAGCAAUUUGAGAUACUAUAACUUUUGUGAUUGAUUUCUUAUAUGUAGGAGAAGCAAUCAUACAAGAGAAAAUGUUGGCCAAGAUAUAUAAACAGGAAAAAAAUGUUUUAAAAAAAUGCUUGUGGAAAUCAUGAGAAUACAGUUGACUACAUGGUAGAACACCAUAUAUUGUCAUGCACAUAGUCAUAAACUCCAUGUUUGUCAUGGAUGAAUGCUAAGCUUAUGGAAGAAGCUUGCAGAGUUGCAGUGAAAGAAAAUAAUAAAGGAAGCAAGUGAAUAGCAUAGAAUGAUGACUUGCAGAAAUUGGUUAUUACAACAGAUUAUAUAGUAGUUAUAAGAAUAACUAACCCCACUAAUUGUAGUUACAUGAGAUUAACCAAUUAACCAACUCUAGUUACAAUGUUCUAUGCCAAGACCCCCCCUCAAGCUAGGAAUGGAUGUUAGACACUCCUAGCUUGGAAUACAAAAACUGAAAUGCACCAGGCAUGAUAGCCUUAGUGUAAAUGUGUGACACCCUCUAUCCCGACAUAUAAAAAAAAAUAAAACAUAUAAAAAUAUUGAUCAACAAAUUCACGUGGGUAAAAGGUUCAUAUUCACUUCACUAUCAUCAAAUAAGACUUAUUAAAAACAUAUUCGGCUCAAAACAAGGCCGUCAAAAUUUACAAAAAAAUGUUUUAUUAAAUCAGUGAGGUAAAAUAAAAUAAAAUAAUGUCAUGCAAUUGAAGUAAAAACACAUUCCCAAUGUCACAUUCUAUUAGAACAUUGUGUCCCAACGUCCUUCAACACAAGAUUCUUUAAAGUUAUCCACCUAGUCAUCUGCUCCCACGAACAUAAGGUUCGAGAUCAUCAUAGGAUCCAAACACAAAUAGCACACAGGGAGUGAGUUAUCACAAAAAAAAUAACAAAACAAAUAAACAAGACGUAAUCAAAAUAAAUUAUGGAAAUAUUUAUAACAUAACUCAACUUAAUACAACCCACGUCACUUCACCACUUUAUCUUUAAAAUUAGUUUUUCAAUCACUAAUUACAUUACACAUGAAUCACACACUCGAGUCAAGAUGCAAUAACACUAAUUAACUUCAUAAUAAACAAUUAGCAAGCGUUAUGCAACAAUUAUACUAAGACUCAAGCUUACAUGCAAUGUGAUACCAUGUUAGUGAAAAACCUCCCUGGGGCGCUUAGGAGUACAUAACAAGACACACCACACAAUGAGUAUGUCAGGUCACUCUCACUAAGUAAAAUUAUAAGGUGACCAGUCAGGGUCAUUCCAUUUUGCGAGAAUGAGCUAACCAUAUGAGAUCAACAUAAGUUUAAAUGACCACUCAAACCGAGUGUCUUUACUCCCAAGGCCUAAACUCCGAAGAAUCCGUUAGGGCCUCACCUUCCUGAUUCAAGUUCAACUCCUAAAACAGUUUUUUUUUUGCAAGCAGACACUGCUCAUGAAUUAUAUAAUACCCAUGACCUCACACUCGUGUUUCAAAUACAUUUAACAUAUAGUGCUACAAUUUAACACGGUUCCUAACUAGGAACUUACACUUUCUCUUUAACACUGUGCAUAAAUACUUUUUUCAAUAUAAACACUGAUCGGGUUAUUGUAUAAUUCACAGCUCACAACACAAUUAUUGUCACAUCCAAUGUUAAAUACACACACUUAUUCACAACCAAAUAUCAUGCCCAUAAUUUAACAUCUCAUAAUGUCACAAUCCACCAUCACAAGUUUACAUGUAUCUCAGAAAUUAACACAUGUUCAACUUUGUACUUAUACUCAAUUUCAACAAUAAUAUUAUAAGUAGGUACUACUCAUGAAUUAUACAAUACUCAUGAUCUCACACUCGUGUUUCAAACACGUUUAACACAUUGCGCUACAAUUUAACACUAGUUCCUAACUAGGAAACCUACAUUUUUCCUUUAACAUUGUGCAUCAACAUUUUUCUUAAGAUAAACACUUGUCGAGUUAUUGUAUAAUUCACCGCUCACAACACAAGUAAUGUUACAUCAAGUGUUAACCACACACUUAUUCACAACUAAAACUCAUGUUCACAACUUCACAUCUCAUUAUGUCACAAUCAACCAUCUCAUGUCUACGUGUAUCUCGCAAUUUAACAAUUCAACUUUGCACUUAUAUUCAAUCUCCAUAACAAUAUUAUAAUCUCAAAGUAAUAUAUUAUUCUACAAUUCAUCAUAUAUUCAAUUUAUCACUUAUAUACAAUUUCAAUCACAAUUUCAUAAUCCCAAUAUAACUAUUUAUUAUGCUAAUCUUAUUCAAAACACAAACAAAUUAUACAAAAAAUAUUUCUCAAUUUACGGGGAGUAAAACCCCUCAAACAAUUUCACAUAAUCAUACAAGAAGAAUUUUAAUACAAUAAGCAUCCCAAAAUAAAUCUCAAUUUGAUCCUUUAAGAACCCUUACACAUGUUCAUUCUAACCUCAAUUGCGAUAAACUCAUCCCUUACCUCCAAGCAGGCUCACGUGUGUAUUGUGACAACAAUAGUGGCAUCUCUAGCGGUUUCCUGAGAUUCCUCAAGUUUUUCCUCUAACUACUCUGAUGGGGUUCUCAAACGUUAGAGAGAAGAAAAAGGGAUUGAAGUCUUCAUUUCACUGUCUAGGUGUGAUGAGUAUUUCUCCCUCCACAGACGUUAUUUUUCAAAUACCAAUGGUGAAGAUUUGAGGAAAUAAAUCUUGAACCACAUAUCAAAAUUUCACGACAAUUCAACGGUUGACGAGUCCGGGGUUGUAGUUUUACUGAGACAGUUUUGGGUUUUUGCGGGAAAAGAAAAAGUUACGAUGAAAAGGGUAUUUCUUUGAGAUCUGACAUGUUUUCGUAAUUCCCAACGGUGAGAAUGUUCAAAAAUGAGUUUCAAACUUUGUACUCAAAUUUCACGACGAUCCAAUAGUGAAUGAGUCUGAGAUCGUCGUUUUUCUGAGAGAUUUAGUGGUAUGCGGGAAAAAGAGAGAGUUUUGGGAGGAGGAGAAGGGAAAACGAAAUUGAGAGGGAGAGGAGGCGUAGAGAGUAUCAUCAGAAAACUGACCUAAGAUGCAUCUAUUUAUAGCUAGGGUACUCACAACCUAUUAUUUACUCUAUUUUUUCUUUGUUUAUUAUUUUAUAAACAAAUACUCUAUUUUAUUUUCUAUCAAAUGAAUAAAUCAAAUAUCUUUUUCUUUUUUUUUUUCCUUCAAACCAUUAUUUUAAUUAAUAACAUCAUUUCUCCUUAUUUAUUUAAUUAUAAAAAUCUUACCAUUUUCUAAAACUCUAUUUUUUUUUACUAAAAAACCUCUUAAAUUUAUUUACGAAAAAUGAGAAGUUACAAAAUGUUUGCUAGUUGAUUUGCAGAAGAAAUAGGAAGAAGCUUCACAAGACCAUUCAACACUUUCUCAUGAACAAUAUGGCAGUCAAUCUCAAUGUGUUUGGUCCUCUCACGAAAAACAAGAUUAGCUGCUAUAUGAAGAGCAUAUUUGUUAUCACAGUAUAGGACAACAGGGUUAUGAAAUUUGAUCUUAAAUUCUUUGAGCAAGUAAGUAAGCCAUUGUAGCUCAUAAGUAGCACUUGCUAAAGCCUGAUAUUCAGUCUUAGAGGAGCUUCUAGAAAUAGUAGCUUGUUUCUUAGACUUCCAUGAAAUUAAUGAAUCACCAAUGUAGAAAGCAUAGCCAGUGAUAGAUCGUAUAGUAUCAAUGCAACCGACCCAAUCUGAAUCACUAGCAGCAGACAUAAAAAUCCCUGCACCUGGAGUCCCCUUGAGGUAUUUGAGUAUUUGAAAAGCAGCUUGCUUAUGAUUAGAAGUGGGAUUAGUAACAAAUUGACAUAGAUGCUGCACUGCAUAAGGGAUAUCUGGCCUAGCAUUUGUCAAAUAAAUCAAUCUCCCAAUUAAUCUCCUAUAAGAAUAGGCUUCCUCUGUUGAAAGUAGAAGUCCUGAGUGUUGGUGUAGUUUAGAUAUGUAAUCAGGAGUAGACAUUGGCUUAGAUCCAAGCAUGCUAGAAUCAUUAAGAAUGUCCAGUGCAUACUUCCUUUGACAAAGAUUGAUACCAUUAGAACUUCUGGCUACCUCAAAGCUCGGGAAAUACCUUAAAUCUCCCAAAUCCUUUAUUCUGAAAGUAUCAUCCAACAAAUGGGUAACCCUUUGAAUCUCAGAUAAGUUAUUGCCUGAUAAGACAAUGCCAUCAACAUAGACUAACAAGACAUCAAUUCUGUGAGAACCAUGUCUAAUAAACAAAGAGUGAUCAGAAGCACAUUGUUUGUAUCCAUGUGAAACUAGAAAGGAUGAGAGUCUGGCAUACCAUUGUCUACUGGCUUGCUUCAAACCAUAUAAGGACCUUUGAAGCUUGCAGACCUGUUCGGGUCUAGCCACUUUCAUACCCUGAGGAAUGUCCAUGUACACUUCUCCAUGCAAAUGAACAUGUAAAAAGGCAUUGCUCACAUCCAAGUGCUUGAGAUACCAUUGAUUGAUUGCAGCUAAAGCCAGUAAAAGUCUCACUGUGGUCAGUUUAGCCACUGGAGAGAAAGUGUCUAGAUAGUCAUGUCCUUUUACUUGAGUGUAUCCCUUGGCCACCAAUUUGGCUUUAUACCUCUCUAUUGAACUAUCAGAUCUAUGCUUGACUUUAUACACCCAUCUAUAACCAAUUGCUGAUUUGUGCUUAGGAAGAUCAGUAAGAACCCAAGCAUUAUUGAGUUCUAGUGCUUUGAUCUCUACAUUCAUGGCCUCAAUCCAAUCAGGAUCUCGAGAUGCUUCACUGUAUGACUGUGGUUCAACACUGUGUGAUAGAGGAAACAAUACUGAUAGGAGGGAGAUAAUAUGAACUGAAUGUUUAAAGAUUGAUCUUGCAGUGAUGAAUUGUCUAUCAUGAUGAAGGAAUCAAAAGGAAGUCAAAGAAGAAACGAAAUCAGAGAGUUGUGCAGUAGAGCUCUUCAAUGGAAGAGCUCUGAUACCAUCAUAAACUCCAUGUCUGCCGUGGAUGAAUGCUAAGCUUAUGGAAGAAGCUUGCAGAGAAAGAAAACGAUAAAGGAAGCAAGUGAAUAGCAUUGAAUGAAUUGGCUAACAGAAAUUGGUUAUUACAACAGAUUAUAUAAUUAGUUAUAAGAAUAACUAACUCCACUAACUAUAGUUACAUGAGAUUAACCAAUUAACCAACUCUAGUUACAAUGUUCUAUGCUAAGACAUAGAGUAUUAGUAUUUUGACUCAAUUAGUUUGAAUCAGUUUUGUGGCAAAAACCUAUCUGAUUUAAUCAUAAAAGAAAACUUGCAACUUGGUUUGGAUAAGUUUUGGAAUAGUAUCAAAUCUAUACUUACCCAUCCAAUCUUCAUCAUUUGGAUUGGGUCAGAUAUUUUUUUAAAUAAAUAAAUUAAGAAGACUAUUUUUUGAUGAGCAACCAAAUGAAAUUUCAUAAACUAUAGUAAGAGUAGAGUCCCAAACCAAUACAUGAAUUCUAGUGGCUACUUUUUCACUAAUGGGACAACACUUAUUAGAUAAAAAUCAAAUACAUAAUAAAAUUCUUAUAAAAAUCUCUGUCAAAGUAGUAUAUCUCAUCAUAAAUCAUAACUUAGUCUAUAUUACAAAUCACAAGUCAAAAUAAUUUCAAGUUUAUUUGAGAGUAAAAUAUGAAAGCUAAUAAGUUUAGUAUGUUUGUGGUUCGGUUUUGAACAUGACAACUGAAAACCGAACUUAAUUUAAUAAUAAAAUAUGGUUUCUUCAGUUAUUCAGUUAAGGGUUUGUUCUUGAAUACCGCUAGCUGGAUGAUGGCACACUAUCACUCUGCAUACUCUUCUCCUAUCCUCUGCCUAAUAAAAUUUCUCAACAAAGAAAAUUUAAUUUGGUCGAGGAGAAGGGUUUGGUGUCAAGGUUGACUGUCUAAAUCACUAAAUGUUGUUAUUGGUUUCUUGGUAUUAUCAGGAGCCUUAGGAAUUGCAAUUUGCGAGGACCACUUCCUGAUUUAAGAAGGAUACCUCACCUUCUUUAUCUGUAAGUUCAGUUAUCUGUAUUUGAUUGUUCCUGAGAAAUGUAAAUAUUGUAUUGUAUAUGUCUGGAAAAGAAAAAGUCUAGUGCAGCUUGUAACUGUGUUUACUGACUACUAUUUGUGAAAUUCCAGUGACCUCAGUUUCAACCAGUUGAAUGGAUCGAUUCCUCCGAAUAAGCUUUCUGAAAAUAUCACAACCAUGUGAGAAUCUCAAUCAUUUAAUCUUUCAUUGAUUGAUUUUACAUUUAAUUUUUUGAAUUCUACAUGUCAAUAUGUCAAUAUUUUCCUUGUAUGUUUGUUGGCCAAAGCAAAUUUAUAGAAUGUGAUAAUAUGAUUAGUUUUUUACCUCAUGGGAUAUGUGCAGUGAUUUAUCAAACAACCUCCUUACUGGAAAUAUUCCAUCCUACUUUGCUGAUCUUCCACGUCUUCAGAAAUUGUAAGUUGUUUCUUGUUUUAACCUAUUUUCUUCUACGUAAAGCUAUAUUACAUACUAUAAGCCAAACAAGAGUUACUACUAUCUAUCACCUUAUCUCACUUGCAGAUCAUGUAUUGAAUUACUUAUGAUAUGUUUUAUAUUGAAUUAUCAAACUUUUAUAUUUCCUAUUUAAUCAAUCAUGUUAUAAAUAAAUGGUUUUUACUAAUAUCAUCUAUGGGGCAGGUCACUUGCAAACAAUUCAUUGGAUGGCACUGUUUCUUCCUCCAUUUGGCAGAAUAAGACUUUAAAUGGAACAGAAAAAUUUUUCUUGUAAGAUCUGAAGUGAUAAAUUGCAUAAUUGUGGGAAUUUUACUAUGCUAAUAUCAUUGAUUCAUCUGUAUUUCCCUCUGCAGUAGAUGCUACUCAGUACUGGGUUUUUGUAUUUUAGUUUGCUGAGCAUGAGUUUCUAAUCUUGCAGGGAGUUGGAAAAUAAUAAUCUUACAACCAUAUCAGGCAGUAUUGAUCUUCCUCCAAAUGUCACAGUUGGGUACGGUUCUAAAUUUACUAGCUAUUGUGCAGUUUGUUCUGAAAUCAUUGUAGUUGAGACUGAAGAUUUUCAUGUAUUUUUUCUCCUUGUUAUGCAUGUUCAAAAGAUUAGUGUCAUUUUGCUGAAGGUCAAGAAUUUAACAUUAGAUUAAGCAUAUAUUCCAUCAUUUUUAAAGAGCUUCACAUGUUAUUAUUUGAAAAUUACUGUAUUUCAGGCUUAAUGGAAAUCCCCUUUGCUCAAAUAUAACCCUGAUUCAGUUCUGUGGAUCUGAAGCUGCUACUGUAACAAAUGGCUCAUUAACAACAAAUUUCAGUUCCUGUCCCCCUCAAGGAUGCCCUCCUCCUUUUGAAUACACUGUGGAUUGUUUCUGUGCGCUUCCAUUGAUUGUUUUCUAUCGGUUGAAAAGUCCUGGAUUUACAAACUUUCUUCCAUAUUUGAAUGGAUUUAAGGACUACAUGACUCAUGGUCUUGAAAUAUCUUUUGAUCAGCUAGAAUAUGAUUUUUAUUGGCAAGUAGGACCUCGACUGAAAAUGGAUUUGAAGUUUUUUCCUCCAUAUCUUAAUAACACUAGUAAUCAUACUUUCAAUGAAAGCGAGCUCCUACGGAUCAAAAGCAAGUUCACAGGAUGGCUAAUUCCAGACAAUGAUACGUUUGGGCCUUAUGAACUGAUUGGCUUCAAUCUUUUGGGUUCUUACCAGGAUGGUAAGUCUCUGAAACUUCUCCACAUUUUCUUUAGCUCGAUAAACAUGGGUCAGAAUAUUAUAGUAAGAAAAACAAUGCCGACACAAAUUUUUUAUCUACUGAUCUGUAUCAAUAGAAUAUAAGAUUAGACAUGAGACAAUCAGGAAAUAGAUAGUGCAGAUGCGCUGACCCCCUUCAAGUCUCAUCUCUAUUAAUUUAGUUGUUCAUAUAUGGUUGCACUUGAUUUUCUUAAAAAAUGAAGGACUAGAGAGCACAAAAAUACUUGUUCCAUGUUUGACUUUAAAAAUUGUCAUGUGAGAGAACAAAACAUAAGAUGAAACACAAGAGAAAAGUUACUUAAGGAACCAAAGGACAACUCCCAAUCUUUUCUUCUCCUUGAGUCUCCCCUUCUCUUCUUCAAUCCUCCUGCUCCAUACUUUCUUGCCUUCUACAUAGUGGCCUUUUCUGCUUCCCCUUGUUUUCCAAUUGAAUAUCUCUGUUACUCUUACAACCAAAACCCUAAUAUCCAUGGAUAGCCUACAAGCCAUAUACAAAGACUAAGAAGAUGAAGGGUCACUUACAACCAAAACACUAAUGCAUCAUUUGUGCUAUCCCCUGACAGCUUCCACAUUGCCUUUCUGUUUUAGGUAUUGAACCAUUAGAUUUUUAUCAAAAGGAGAGGAUCUUGCAUCAUGCAGAUUUUGUCCACUUUCUCCAGUUUUCCAUGUUUGGGAAAUUCCUCUUUUUCAACCUCCAUCUGUGUCCUAAUUAGGCUUCUUAUGCUGCAUUCAGUUGCUAUAGCUUUUGUGGUGAUAAAUAAUAUUAAAGUGUGAAAAUAAUUGAAUGAUAAAAAUGUCAAAAUUUUGUGCCUUUUCUUAGUGCAAACCAAACGUUAACUGCACAAAAAGCAUUGUAGUAAAUUUUUAAUUGUUUUGUCUAGAACUUGUGUACCAUUAUCAAUCAGUAGAACAAAAAGUUGUGUUCUCACUCAACUACUUGUACUAUGAUGUUAUGCUUCCCCCCCCCCCCCCCCCCAAAAAAAAAAAGAAGAUAUUGCAAAUGUUAAGCUAAUAAUUUUCAAUCUUCCUAUUAUCAAAUUAGCUUUUUCUCCAUAUGCAUGCUUCGCAUGUCAAAGUUUGCAUAAAUAACAGAUUUUGCUUUAUGUAAGUGAGCCCUCUAACUGACAUCUAUCUGAUUAUUCCUCAAUAGAUAUUCUGAUUUCCUCAUCCUAAUGAUUUGGAGAUGCUUUAGCAAAAAUGAAACAACUAUAAAUUGCAUGAUUCAGAUGCAGUGUUGAGUUCAAGAGUAUAUUGUAUGUGUUGUGAGUAUAUGACUGUCCUCAUACUGCUCGUUAUUCUUGCAGUGAUUCCCACGAGAUCUGAAUCACAGAAUAUACGUACGGGUGUGCUGGUUGGCAUAGUCAUAGGGGCAAUUGCCUGUGCAGUGACGUUAUCUGCAAUUGUUACCAUUCUUAUUUUGAGAAUAAAAUUGAGAGAUUAUCAUGCCGUUUCCAAGCAACGUCAUGGUGAGUUUUGUAUCAUGAAUUAACACGUGCAUUCCCAUUUUUCUCUUUAACUUGUCUCAAGCUCUCCGCCUCUAUAACAAUGAGAAGCUUGAUGUUACAGUGUGAUAUUUUAUUUUUGCCUGAAAAUUUAGUAAUCUUUUAAUGUCAUCUAAAAUACUCUUGCUGUUUUCCUAUUGACCUUUGGGGCUGUUUCUGUUCACAUGUUACCAUAAUAAAUUGGUUUCUUGAAAUAAAAGACCCAUGUUAAGCCAGCUACUAAAGCCUAUUCUUGCAUUCAUUGAUAAAUGUCCUUUGAUUUUUUUUCCUUUUUUUAGUUAUUAAGAGAAAUUUGAUUAGAGACAAAAGAGAGAAAGUACAACUAGGAGGAAUGGAGGAGGUUAAGAUACCAUGAACUUAAUCCUACAUACAAUAAGGAACAUGAAAAAAAUUGAAUGCAGCAAAGCUCCCAGUCUUUGCAAAUCAGAAUUCAGAAAUAGCAAUGCUCUUGUGAACAGCUAUGAAUAGAACACCAAAAGUAGCUCUAUCCCAUAACCAGCAUAUGGGAAAAGAGACACCCUUUUUUUUUGCGAGUGGAGAGGGGGGGUUGCAUUGAUAAGAUACAAGACAUUAAAAAGAUAAGGCUUCUGUCAUUGAAUUUUUAAACUGUGCCUAAUCAGGGUUGAAAAAUCAUUUGGAGAAUCAAAAAGAGGUUUAGCUCAAGACAAUCAUGUAAGAAGUCUUAUUGAUUUAGCUGGUUAACUCUUGUAACAUUAGAGAUGCUUAUGUAUUUGAGCAGCUCAUUCGGAACACGUGAUAAAUAUAUGAAGUUGCAGGUUGCUACAAAUCCACUUUUACCCCUUCAUAUCUUGACUAUGAACAUGAGCCUAGUUCGUAAAUUGGAUAUUUUAUAACAGAAGGUGCCAAUACCGCAGCAUUGCAUAUACUUGUUUUUAAUGUUUGUCAAAAUGUAUAAACAAUUUAACUGCAGUUCAGAUAUUCAUCUAUAAGCUCUAAAGAUAUAGUUUACACUUGCUGUAAAAGUACUAGUUUUUUUCAAUGUUUUCCUAUCAGAACCUUAACAUUCUCAGAGUGAAAUUAUAUCCACUUUUUCUUCCUGUUUUGAACUUGUUUGAUUGGAAUUUUAAAAAUAAUAUGUGGUACCAUGUAUUUACUGUUACAAAGCAUAUCUGAUUGGUUAUCAUGAAUGGCUUUAUUUAUAAAAUCUAUUAACAUAGACUUAUGUUUAUUUGCAGCAUCUAAAAUCUCUAUAAAAAUUGAUGGUGUAAGGGCCUUUACUUAUGGAGAAUUGUCCUUUGCCACAAACAAUUUCAGCAUCUCUGCUCAAGUUGGACAAGGGGGCUAUGGGAAGGUUUAUAAAGGGGUUCUUUCUGAUGGCACAGUUGUUGCCAUAAAACGUGCACAAGAGGGAUCCCUGCAGGGUGAGAAGGAGUUCCUUACAGAAAUAUCAUUACUAUCAAGGUUACAUCAUCGCAACCUCGUGUCUCUGAUUGGAUACUGUGAUGAAGAAGGUGAACAGGUAAUUUUUGUUUCCAAAUUCAGAAAAUUUAACUCUAGCCAUAUUUUAUUUUAGUACUUUUAAUGAUUAUCUUGGAUUCUUGAUGUUGUUUGUGGAAGUUUUAAUAUCCACUAAUCUCAUAGCUCAUCGCCACCAUUUAACUCUGGGAGGAUAUUAUUUUACCAAAAUUAGGAUAUAAACGCGAGUUAACAGCUUGGUUAGAAUGACUUUAAAAAGAAGUUAAACGCAGUCACAACACACAUCCAGCUGUUCUUGAAGUUUGGAUUUUGAAGAGUCAUUCCCAAAACAAGGAUUUAUUUGAUAUUUCAUAUAACAUAAACUUUCUUUAGCUUCUAACCUUGGGAGGAUGUAUCAUUCUAGUCCUUGCUGUCCUUUCAGAAAAUUUUGGUGUUAUAAACUCCCUUUCAUUCUUCUUUCUUUCUGACUCUAUUGAAUUUCUUCCAUUUGUCUUGUUGCUUCAUGCUUGCAGAUGCUGGUUUAUGAAUUUAUGUCUAAUGGCACAUUGAGGGAUCACCUUUCUGGUAUACAUUAUGUUCUUAUUUUCUGAUCUUAAAUUAUUAACUAAUUUUGUGGUUCCAUUGCUUUAUUCUGAUGAAUUAGUAGUCACAGAUGCUGUGUACAUUUUCCUUUUCUCUAAGCUCGAUGAUGCAGAUAAUUUGUUUUACAGAAAUUGUGUGCCUAAGUCCCUUUUUAUGUUAUCUAUCUUAAGAGUGUGCUAUAAUGUAUACAGUUACAGCUAAAGAUCCUCUGACUUUUGCCAUGAGAUUGAAGAUCGCGCUAGGGGCAGCUAAAGGUCUUAUGUAUCUACACACAGAAGCUGAUCCUCCAAUAUUUCACCGAGAUGUAAAGGCCAGCAACAUAUUAUUGGACUCUAAGUUUUCCGCGAAAGUGGCUGAUUUUGGACUCUCACGGCUUGCCCCAGUUCCAGACAUGGAAGGAGUUGUGCCUGGUCAUGUAUCUACAGUGGUAAAGGGGACCCCGGUAAGGCUUUCAUGAUUGGUUUUGGUUUUGCUGAAUUGUGCACUUGUAUAUUAAGUACAAGAUUGGCAAUCAUAUUGUUGCAAUACUAACUGCACUAGUUUUGUACUACAAAUAUAAGCCAGCUCUGUAAUGCUACUAACAUGAAAAGGUUCUUAACUUCAAUAUUCUAACACUUGAUACCUAUAAAUUUGUCUCUAAAUCUCUGUCCAGGAUAUCAAUUUUGAAAAAACUUAGGAGGAUGCUGACAUAAUUAUGGCCAAUGUUAGGAGUAUUUCUUUGGGGAAAAGAACAGGUGUUGAAGCUUGAAAGGUUGGGUCUAGGGUCCCCUAUUCAAAUGGUAUCAGAGCUUGCUGUGAUAGCCCCAAGUCCUACAUUGGAUGAAUUUGAGAAUAAUGGUUAGGCUAGCCAUUUAGGUCAUGUCAUGUCAUGUUCACCCCAGUUGCCCUGGUCCAAUUAAGCUUGAGUGUAACAAAUAGUAUCCCAGCUCUGACCACUUGGAAGUGUGUAUGGAUUUUGGAAGAUUGGUUUUAUUUAUUUAAUGAAUUUUUACCAUUUGUUUUUCACUGUUUUGAACAUGCAGGGUUACCUUGAUCCAGAGUACUUCUUAACUCAUAAGUUGACUGACAAGAGUGAUGUUUAUAGUCUUGGUGUCGUAUUUCUGGAACUUUUGACAGGGAUGCAUCCUAUCUCACAUGGCAAAAAUAUUGUUAGAGAGGUAUUUUCUUAUCUUAGAACUUGUUUUCUCUCCCUAUUCCCUAGUGUGAUUGGAUCAAACUGUGAUCAACAGUUGGAUGUUCAAUCUAUGCUGUUUGUUUUGUACAUCUGUUUUUCAAAAAUUAUUCUUCUUCUGCUGUAUUGUUAUAUUUUGCCUUCAUAUUGUUCAUGAGUGUUGCCUUUGUAAUUGAAUCAUGUCACCUCAAUAGAAAGAGAGAGAGAGAGAGAGAGACCCUUCCUCUCUACAGGAUUAUAUAGAUCCAUUUGUUGUCAAUGUCAAUUCUUUGAUUCUUUCCGUUUCUUCAUCUACACCGGUUCUGUUUUUUGUUAUCAAAUCUUUACUUGGAUCAUUUUUUGCUUAGCGAUGUCCAACUAUUAUUCCAUUAGUCUAAGGUUUUGGGUAAACAGAACUGAGUAAGUAUUUGCUAACAUCUAGGUUGAAUCAAAUUAAACAAUUUCCAAGUAACGUGUAUCCUUUUGUCAUGUAAAUAUUCCUUCUAUCAUUUCCCAUGUCUUAAGAUAUCAAAUAACAGAGUGCUUGACACUAUCACUUCUCUAAAUCUUUGAGCCCCUUAAAUCAAUCUCAAUAUUUCGAGGGAUUAGCCUCUGACUUUCAGCCAAGGGAUGCCUAAGUUCACCCAAAAAAUAAUAGAGUGCUUGACAAUAUCACUUAUCCGAAUCUUUUUCAGGUGAACGUUGCAUACCAAUCUGGCGUGAUAUUUUCAAUUAUCGAUGGACGAAUGGGGUCUUAUCCAUCUGAGCAUGUGGAGAAAUUUUUGACUUUGGCCAUGAAGUGUUGCGAAGAUGAGCCAGAGGCACGGCCUAGUAUGACAGAAGUGGUAAGAGAGCUUGAGAACAUAUGGUCUACAAUGCCGGAAUCAGAUACCAAGAGAGCUGAAUUUAUAUCCAGUGAUUCUGGCAAAGCAGACAGUCACAGUACACCAUCUUCAUCUUCUGCCUCUGCUUCUGUUAUGAAGACUCCUUUUGUAUCAGGAGAUGUGUCAGGUAGUGACCUUGUUAGUGGAGUGAUACCAAGCAUCAAGCCAAGAUAGAACUAUAGAAGUUGAAAAUGAUUACCUUCAUCAGUUAUGGUAGAUCCAAUGUGAUUUUGUCAUUGCCCUGUGCAUUAAAUAAUGUGACCAUAUAUGGUACUACUUUUCAUUCUCUUCUUUGUACAAUAUGAUUGACUGAUAGAGCUCUGGCUGGUAAAUAACAUCGAUUUUGUACACCAUUUAAGCUGACGAAGAUCUAGAUGCAGGGCCAAUUAAGUACUAGGGAAUUGAGGAGGUAUAAGGUUGAUCUAGUGGUGAAAGAAGAAGGAAAGGGAGGAAAAGCCAUAGGUUUGAAUCUCCGGUUAAUAAAAAACUAACAUCUGAUAUUUAUCGACAAAAAGAGUACUAGAGAAUUAAAUUCCGUUUCAAGUAGUUUAUUCAAACAUUUGAAUUGGAGCACUUGUUAUUUAAAAGCUUUUUUUUUAGGCAAGUUUAUGCAAAUUACUAAAGCUCUUCAUCAGUCACAACUAACCUAGUCAUAAUGGUUAAAAGCAUUAAGUUCUGAUUUUCUUAUUGAACCAUGUUCAUAAAUCAAAAGUUUAAAUUAACAGUUAUUUACUUAUAUUGAUACUAUAGAUUAUAACUUUAUAUUACAAAUUAAAGGUUAAAUCAUAAUUUUGAUCUCUCUUUAAUCCCAAAUCCACAAUUUUGAAAUUCUUAUUUUUUUUUCAUGAUUUUGAUCUCCCUGAUUUAGAAAAUGUCAUUUUGGUCAAAUUUUCAAUUUUGCUUGUUUUAAUUUAUUUGUAGUGGUCUAGUUGAAUUCUAGAUCUAACAUAUUAACUUAAAAUACCAUUAAAAAAUAAUUAAUUAAAAUCUAAAAAACAAACAAAAUAAAAUAUGAAAAUGAUGAAUUUGACUAAAAUUGUGAAUUUCUUAUAAUAGGGGACUAGAAUCUAAACUAAAAAGGAAUUCAAAAGUUUGUGGUUAUUUUGAAGGCUAAAUUACAAUUUUGGUAUCCCACUAAUUCUUUAUAUGUAAUUUUGUUCUCCUAAUUUUUCUUUUCAUGGAUCAACAAUUUCAAGGACUAAAUUAAUGAAUACAAAAAUUAUUCAAAUCAAAUUAACUUUUAUAUGCUAUGGAACUAACAAAUGGAGCGGGUGGGCCGGUGUUGGUAUUAGGGCAUUUCUAUCAUGCACUUUUACUAUUGUAUCAUAUACUCCCAUUGCAUUUUAGAAAGUUUAUUCCAAAAUGUAAAUUUAUAUUUUGAAAUUAGUUUUUCUGAAUGAAAUGAAAUCUGCCCGAUGUAAUAAUAAGGCAUAGGAUACAAUAGCUUACUUUCUAAAAUCUAAGUUUACAUUCUAAAAUGGGUUUUCUAAAAUGAAAUGAGGGUGUUGCGUUGGGCACCCAACAACGUGGGUGAAAGGGCUAAAAUGCACUUCACCCUUUCUUAUAAAAGCCUAAAGUGACUCAUCUGUACGAGCCAUUAUUCAUUCUCCUGCGCCGCUUUCUUCUUCUUAUUUGUUGCUUCUUCUUCCUCUUUUCUUCGGCAGUGCUUCUUCUUCCUCUUUUCUCCGACAAUGCUUCUUCUUCCUCUUUUCUUCGAGGGUGGUUGGCUUGGUUCGUGGUCCUUCGUUGUUGUUGUGGUCCUUUCGUCUUCUUGGUGGGUCGUGAUCCGUUAUUGGUGAAUGUUCUUCCUUUUGUCUUCUUGAUCACCUUCGAGGUUAGUGAAUCCUUCUCCAUAUGUUCAAGCAUUGUAUUGUUGUGUUUUGGUUUGUGUUGUUUGUGUGCGCCGCUAGUUCUUCGUUUCUGUCGUUCAUGGCUUUUUUUUUUUUGUAAAAACCCAUACGAAUUGUCAAUCCAUAUGUUUUUUUAUAUAAAAAAAAAAUCGAAUGCAUUUAUACAAUGGUUUUGUUGGAUUGUAAAUUUAUUCUGUGAUUUAUUUGUUGUUUGUUAUGUUUUAGUAAUUUUUUUGAAUUGUUAAUUUACUAUUUGCCAGUAGUAUUUUGUAGUAGUCAGCAGAGGUUAUUUAGUUAGUUUGAAAUAGAUAGGUUGAAAAAAUGGAUAGGUGGAAAAAAUUGAAAAACUAUAAACACUUGAUUCGUUAGUUUAAAAUAAUUUUAAAAUUGAUUUAAAGUAAAAUUUAUAAUAUUUUAAAUUGAUAGUUAGUUAAAAAUAAUGAUUGAAAGCGAAUUUAAAUUUUUGUUUAAAUUUUUAGUUAACUAUUAAAAAUUAUUGAAAACAAAAUUUAAAAUAUUUCAAAAUGUUAGAUAGUUAAAAAAUGAUUGGAAGAGAAUUUUAAUUUUUUUAAAUGGUUAAUUAUUUAUAAUAAUUGAUUGAAAAAAAUUAAAAUAUUAGAAAAUAUUAGUUAGUCAAAAAAAUAUUGAAAACAUAUUUUAAAAAAGUUUUAAAUUGUUAGUUAUUUUUAGAAAAUGAGUUUUUAGGAAAUGAGCGAAAACUAAAUUGAAGAUAUUUUAAGAUGUUAGUAAAAAAAUAAUUGAAAGCCAGUUAUAAAAAAAGUUACAGUUUGUAACAAAAUAAAAAAAAAUUGAAAGUUUUAGUUAAAAAUAUGGUUGAAAGAAAAUUUUAAAAAAAUUUAAAAAUCUUAGUUAUUUCUAUUAAGUGAUUGAAAAUAAAAUUUAAGAUAUUUUAAAUUGUUAGUUAGUAAAAAAAAAGAGUGGAAACAAAAUUAUUUGAAAUUGUUAGUUAUUUUUAAAAACUGAUUGAAAACAAAAUUUAAAAUAUAUAAAAAUGUAAGUUAGUUUAAAAAAAUUGAAACCAUAUUUUUAAAAAUUAUAAAAUUGGUAUUUAUUUUUAGGAAAUGAUUGAAAAAAAAAUUAAAAUAUUUAAAAAAGUUAGUUAGUUUUAAAAAAAAAUAUUGAAACCAUAUUUUUAAAAAUUAUAAAAUUGGUAUUUUUUUUAGGAAAUGAUUGAAAACAAAAUUUAAAAUAUUUAAAAAUGUUAGUUUAAAAAAAUAGAUUGAAACCAUAUUUUUAAAAAUCAUAAAAUUGGUAGUUAUUUUUAGAAAAUGAUUGAAAACAAAAUUUAAAAUAUUUAAAAAUGUUAGUUUAAAAAAAAUAUUGAAACCAUAUUUUUAAAAAUUAUAAAAUUGGUACUUAUUUUAAGAAAAUGAUUGAAAACAAAAUUUAAAAUAUUUAAAAAUGUUAGUUAGUUUUAAAAAAAGAUUGAAGCCAUAUUUUUAAAAAUUAUAAAAUUGGUAGUUAUUUUUAGAAAAUGAUUGAAAACAAAAUUAAAAUAUUUAAAAAAGUUAGUUAGUUUUAAAAAAAAAAAUUGAAACCAUUUUUUUAAAAAUUAUAAAUUUGUUAGUUAUUUUUAGAAAAUGAUUGAAAACGAAAUUUAAAAAUAUUUAAAAUAUUUUGAAAUUUUUAUUUAUUUUUAGAGAAUGAUUGAAAACUAAAUUGAAAAUAUUUUAAGAUGUUAGUUAGUAAAACAGAUGAUUGAAAGGCAAUUAUAAAAAAAAAUAAAAUUUGAAAUUAUUUUAAAAAAUGAUUGAAAUCAAAAUUAUUAAUAUUUGAAAAUGUUAGUUAAAAAAAUGGUUGAAAGCAAAUUUUUAAAAAAAUUAAAAAUGUUAGUUAUUUGUAAUACAUGAUUGAAAAGAAAAUUUAAGAUAUUUAAAAUGUUAGUUAGUUUAAAAAAAAUAUUAUGCAAAUAAUGGUCAGAACUAGAGGUCUUGGUCGGGCUUUAGGCAUAAGGAAAUUAGUAGUUUUCAUUUGCCCGUCGGAGAGGUGACUAUCACCUUGAAUGACGUCGCGUCGUUGCUACGUCUGCCUAUCAUAGGGGCGUUUUACAGCUUCGAGCAACUUCAUGUCGACGACGCUGUCAAUAUGUUGGUGGAAUUACUCGAGGUCAGCGCUGCAGAGGCGAGAACAGAGACGAUUCAGUGUCAUGACUCUUAUUCGACUAUCGUGGCUGUGAGACGUGUACCAAAUGAAGAUCGAGGCAUCUCACUGGACUGUAGCAGCCCAAGCAUAUUUGUUGCAUCUACUUGGAUGCACACUCUUUGCUAACAAGAAUGCCAUACUCGUGCACGUGGUAUUCUUGGAUGGAUUGCAUGACUUCACGCAGAGUGGGAAUUACGCUUGGGGCGCUGCUGCACUUGUGCACAUAUAUGAUAAUUUAAAUAAGGCGUCAAAGAGCACGACGAGGCAGCUUGUAGGAUAUAUCACUCUGUUACAGGUUAGUUAUGAUGUUACGAUUUUUUUUUCAUUGGAGUUGAAUAUUAUAUGUUGCCGCAUAUUUUAAUGAAUAUGUUUCUGUCAUAUUUAGUGUUAGGUCUACAAGCAUUUCCCGUCCGUUAGGUCUACAAGCAUUUCCCGUCCGUUGGUUCCGUCUACAAGCAUCGCGUGCAUGUCGAUAGACCUCUGGUAAGGCACUGCCCGUUUCCAUGUAUCGCAGGCGUCUGGACAGACUGACCCUUGACGUGGUGUGUUGGAUUCCAUAUGGUGACCACCGUUCAUUUAGAGAAUUUGAGUUCAUCUCAUUAUUUUCCGAUCAUCUCAGAUGGGGUCCCUUGACGGUCAUUCACCGAUCGACAAGGGUUGUACGACAAUUUGGAUACAUCCAGACUAUUCCAUCACAUCCUACUGCGUCUUCGGUCUCUGUUGAAGAAAUGGAUGAUAGAUGGAUGCAGUUCAGUGACUACAUUACACAUGUAGGGCAAAUCUGUGUAGUGUCUGGCCAGUGUUCGUCGGAUUACAUGGAUUGGUUCUACAUGAUUUUGAACCCAUUCAUGAGUCUGACACAGCCAGGGGUUCCUCAUAGAGUUCCACCGGUUCAACAAUAUGACACAUUUGUUGAACCAGAUGUGCAACACCUGAUGAGGCAUACGUUGAUGUGCAUCAUCUUUGACAUGCAGUGGUAAUAUAUUUUUUGGUAUUUGUGUUUGUUGUUUUCUUUUGUAUUUUAUUACUAAAAAUUGUUGUGUUUGUUUUUCUUUUCACUUGCCAGGAUGGUUUUGUAGCAAUUGCUAAUAAGUUGGAGAGGCUACUAAACUUGAGGAUCCUGACCGAAGGAACAGAAGCCUAUACUGUUGCUGAAGAAUGUUUGGGCAUCCCAAGAAGCUAUAUUAGCCAACCAACUGUAGGUCACAGAUCGAGGCGUAUGCGGCGUACCAACAAUCAUUGAAGUUGUUUUUUUUUUGCCUUAUAUAUGUCAUUUAUAAUUUUUUGGAUGUUUUAUUUAUUUGAUACAUUUAUGUAUUGAUAGUAACAUUUGGCUAUUUAUUUGGUACAUUUUUAAUUUUUUCGAUAAUUUAUUUAUUUGGUACAUUUAUGUAUGGACACGUUUUUAAUUAUGCGAUAUAAAUUUUUUUCAUUUGUUUAUCGUUAAUCAACUGUUAAUGUAGCUUUGAGGAAUAAAUUAAUUCGUGCAACAAAAAUAAAGCAUGUAGCAUCAUAAAUCGUUCUCAAAGUUGACAACACACUGUGAAUUGCAUGCGUAUUUUUUAAAAAAUGAAUACACGUACGUACUGGCAUAGAAAUGACUACUCAGUUGUUUUAGUUCUGUUAGUAGCAAUGCAUGUCUGGUGCAAAAUUAAAGCAUGACACAACAUUGUUGUACUUGACAACACAUAGACAAAUUUGCACGUGUCUAUUUUUUAAAAAAAAAUAAUACAAACAGUCUCGUGAACACCAUCUAUAUAUACCACACCAAUACUCUAAAAAAUCAUACAUUCUCACCUAAUCCAACUUUAGAAACCAAAUUUUACAACAAACUAUGGCAUUUUUGGGAGAAACAAGCAGUCAGACCAUUGUCAACUCCAGAUUAACUUUUAUUUUUCCAAAUGGAUCAAUUAUUCACAACGAAUAUGGUGUUUAUUUCCAAAGUUCCACUUCAAUACCCAUUCGAGUACCUAACGAUUGUGAUUUUGAAACGCUAAAAAGCAGAAUGCACAAUACCUUUCAACUAACCGACGAUCAAUAUUUGGAUGAAAUUUACUACUGGCAGUCAUUCACAUAUGCAGGUAACCAAUUUGGCUUUCAAUCUAUGCAAUUGAAAAAUGAUGAUGAUGUUAACACAAUGUUAAUGUGAAAUGAUCAAUACUCAUGUGUUGAUCCGAUUGAGUUAUUACGCACCAUUGGUAGAACACCGAAUGGUAUAUUAAACUUACUUCAAGCCACUAUGACCCCUACUCAUGAUGUCCUGCUAUAUUACAACGGGAGGUGGAACAUGCCACGUCAACAUGACUUUGUCGGUUACUCGUUCACAAGAAAAAAUCCAAAAAGAUUUGACAUUCCUUCGGGAUGUAUCAUCGAUGGAGUGAAGGAUGUAAUCAAGAAAGUUGCAUCUCAAGGGAUUCCCCCUUAUAAUAUUCAUGAAUCACAAACGGUAAGACGAUUGUUUUUUCGACAACUAGGUCAUUCUGAGUAUUCAGACAAAGUUAUCAAAUUUGAAGUUAUUGAGCUGAAAACUGAUGAUGACGUGUUAAAGGUCUUAGUACAGUCUAACUACUGGAAACAAUUUGGCCUAAUAGAAAUUUUAGCUGUUUUUAGUUAACCGGUAAUCAAAAUGAAAGAUGACAUGCCUCGACAAUCUAACGUGAUUCAAUUCAAAACUAGUAUUAGUUAAUUGUAGUUUUUGAUGUAUUUUUUGUUUGUUUCAACUAUGUUGAAGUUAAUGUAAUGUUUAAAUUUGUGUCCAUUAGCUAAUGAAACCAUAUCUUUAUUAUUUUCAAAGUAAUUAUUUCCUAACUUUUAAAAAUAAUGACUAAAAAUAAAUUAUUAUUUACAAAAUUGUCAAGAAAAUUAAGAAUGUCAGUAAAAUAAUUAUUUACACAAAUGUCAAUGGAAAUAACAUAUUUUAUGUUCAUUAUUCACCUAAAUCAACAAAUUCGGUUUUGAGCUUAGACAAAUUUCUGUAACGCUACAUUCUACCUACGUACGGGGUGGGCCACUACUUUGACUGAUAUUGACAAUGUGUAUUCCACAACAACGCCAAUGGUAGUAAAGGACAAUGGUCUCGUAAAAAAACCUAUUACAUAAUGACAAACAGAUUCAAUGUAAGAUAACCAACUACAUUGUUAGCACUUAUACUAACAUCAUAAUUAUGCAAUUACCUAUCCAAAAUGAUUUUCAUACACAUGACCAAUGCAUAUUACACGAUGCACAGAAGAAUCUGGUGACUUCUAAGAGGAAAAAAUGUCAUGUUUUGUUGUCGUGAAAGAGAAACAAUGAUCACGUUAUAUCAUGAAAUAAUGACAUAUCCCAUAUCCGUAAUAUUCAUUCACUUGUCCAUGGUAACCUACAUGUAAAAGACAACAAAUAACGAUUACUUAAAUGUUAUUUUAAGAAAAAGUGACCUAACAAUGAAUUUACGCACCAUAUAUAAUCUGUCAACAUGUAGGGAAUGCUUUAAUUCCUCAAAUCUCUCUAUGCCACCAAGCAGGUUGAUAUACACUUCCAACCAGAUUGUCAGUUCUUUAUGAAGAUGGUUGCGCACCAAUGACCACGAUUCUUCACCCAUACCCAAUAAGGCAACUAUUGCCCAAUAACCAUAGUUAUCAUUCGCUUUGACAUCAAUAAUGUUUUUAAUAGAAUCUUGGAUGCACGAAUGAAAUUGAUCCAACAUUGGAAUAUUUUGUCUCUGUAUUGGUUCCUCAGAUGACGAUGCACUAUGUUUUACUGAAGAAUUACUAUUUUUCACAAAGUGUAACGCAUCAACAUACUCCCAAUAAGACGGAUCACGUUUUGUUGACUUUUGUUGUUUGGUCAACGAUUUUUUUGGAGCAUGUAACAUUCCAUUUUUCGUAAACAAAUUAAAAAGGUUUUCUGUAGUUAAAAAAUAUAGUUUUAGAAAAAUGUUGAGUUUUUUAUAAUAAAAUAAAUAAGGAAAAAUAAUGUUAUUAAUUAAAAUAAUGGUUUGAAGGAAAAAAGGAAAGAUAUUUGAUUUAUUCAUUUGAUAGGAAAUAAAAUAGAGUAUUUGUUUAUAAAAUAAUAAACAAAGAAAAAUAGAGUAAAUAAUAGGUUGUGAGUAUCCUAGCUAUAAAUAUAUGCAUCUUAGGUCAGUUUUCAUACUGACGAUACUACUCUUUACACCUCCUCUUCCUUUCAAUUUUGUUUUCCCUUCUCCUCCUCCUAAAACUCUUUCUUUUCCCGCAUACCACCAAACUUGUCUCGGAAAAAUGAUGAACUCAAACUCAUUUACCGUUGGAUCAUUGUGAAAAUUGAGCAUCAAGUUCAGAACUCAUUUUCAAACAUUCUCACCUUUGGGAAUCAAGAAAACAUGUCGAACCUAAGAGAAAUACCCUUUGCAUUGUAGCUUUUUUCCCCCGCAAAAACCCAAAAUUGUCUCAGUAAAACUACGAUCUCGGAUUCGUUAACCGUUGAAUUGUCGUGGAAUUUUGAUAUUUGGUUCGUGAUUCAUUUCCACACAUCUUCACCGUCGGGAUUUGUAAAAUAAUGUCUGUGGAGGGAGAAAUACUCAUCGCACGUAAACAGUGGAAUUAAGACUUCAAUCCCUUCACAUUCUCUCUAACGUUUGGAAACCCUAUAAGAGUAAUAAGAGGAAAAGCUUGAGGAAUCUCAAGAAACCACUAGAGGUGUCGCUAUCGCUGUCACAAUACACACGUGAGCCCGCUUAGAGGUAAGGGAUGAGUUUAUCGCAAUUGGGGUUAGAAUGAACAUGUGUAGGGAUCCUUAGAGGAUUAAAUUGGUUUAUUUUGGGAUGUUUAUUGAAUUUUUCCUUUAUGAUUAUAAAUACAAUAUUGAUGUCCUGAUGUGAAUUGGUUGAUAAAAUUGAGUUCUCUUGGUGUUUUCGUUUUUCAUACUUAUGAUUUUGAUAUAAUUGUGCGAAAUUAUUUGAGGGGUUUUACUUCCCAUGUUGUGAUAAACCUUUUGUAUAAAUUGUUAUAUUGAGAUUAUGAAAUUGUGAUUCAAAUUGUGAGUAUGUGAUAAAUUGAACCUAUGAUGAAAGGUGAAAUACAUGUGUAUUAAGAUAUGUGUAUUGAGUUAUGAGCUAUGAACUGUACAAUCACAUAAUUGUAAGACCCUUUAAGGGCGAUGAGUAUUGUGAUGGGAUCCAUUGUGGGAACCCAACGAGUUUAAUCACAAGCGUGACGAGUUAAAAUGAUUUUGAAAAUUAUUGAGAAGUUGUGUGUAUUGCAUAGUUCAUAGGUAAAGUGUAUAUGAUUCAUGAGGUGUGAUAACAUGCUACUUUGGGAUUAUACCAUUGUGAUUGAGAUCAAAUAUAUGUGAUAAAUUGAGUAUGUAUUGACUCAUAAUAUAUAUGUGGAUUGAGUUGUGAGUUAUGAAUUGUACAAUCACACGACUAUAAGACCCUUUAAGGGCGACGAGUUAAUGCUAAGACCCUUUAAGGGAGACGAGUUAAUGCGCGACGAAUAUUGUGAUGGGAACCACUAAAGGGACCCAACGAGUUUAAUUACAAGCGCGAUGAGAUAAAACUAUUUUGAGAAUAAUUGAGGAGUCGUGUGUUUUGUACAGUAAAUAGAUAGAGUAUGUGUGCUAAAAUGUUUUCUGGGUUGGACCUGAAUCAGGAGGGAGAGACCCUAACAGACUCUUCGGAGUGUAGGCCUUGGGGGUAAAUACACUCAGUUUGAGUGCCCCUUUAAGCCUAUGUCGAUCCCGCAUGAUUUGAGCAUUCUCGCCAAAACAGCGUGACCCUGACUGGUCUCCCUAUGAUUUUACCUAGUGAGAGUGACCUGACUUACUAGUGUGUGGUUUGUCUUGUCAGUACUCCUAGGUGCCUAACGAGGUUUUUCAUUGAUAUGGUACCACAUUGCAUAUAGGAUUAAGUCUUAGUGUAUAUGUUUCAUAACGCUUGUGUAUUUAUCGAUAUUGAUUGACUUGGUGAUAUUGUGUUUUGAUCCUUAAGUACGUGAAUAUUGUAAAAAUGAAUGAGACGUGUUGUGUUGUGAUGUGAUGUUGGGCGACAAAGUGAUGAAAUGACGUGAGCUAUGUUUAAGUAAGUUUUAUUUUGUUUAUAUGAUAUUUAUACCUACAUGUUGUCUUGUUUCUCUCCAUUAGUUAGGAAUGUGAUAACUCACUCCCCGUGUGUUGUUUGUGUUUGGAUCCUGUGAUGAUCUCGAACUUUGUAUUCGUGAGAGCAAAUGAUUAGGUGAAUUGCUUUAAGGAACCUUGUGCUGAAGAACGUCAGGACACAAUGCUCUGAUAGGAUGUGAUAUUGUGGCAUGAUUUUUGUUUAAUUAAAUGAUGUUUUGAGAAAAAAAAAACAAUGUUUCUGACAAGUUUAUCUGGUAAUAAUGAAAUAAAUGUGAGCCUUUUACCCUUUAGAAAGGAUUUUAUUUAUAUGUGUUUUAAGAAUUUUAAUUAAUUAUGAUUUCUUAUUUCUUUUAUUAAUAGUACAUAUGUGUGGGGUAGAGGGCAUCACAGAGCACCCUUGGUAUUCAUCUUUUCUAAAGGAGGACACAUGGAGUUCAUAUCAGGAUAAACAAUUUCUCGCAGCUUUGUCUUCAAAUGUACUUUGCCAUAAACAUCGAGUUGCUCAAAGCGUUUCGAUAUGGUUUUCAUCUCCUCAGUUAUGGUCACCUAUGCCUUACAUAACCUUUGAUAUGAAAAACUAAGUCUCCGCCAAAAAAUAUGGAUUGUCUCUAGUGGUAUGGAGCCAACAACAUAUUUCGACAACUCACAUGCAUAUGGAAGACCGUGGGUACUCCUCAUGACACAUCCACAACGUGAAGGGUUUUUGCCUGCAUAAGGUACACGCUCAUACUCAACAACAAUUUCAUUUAAAGCGUACCUUGAUACCAUGCCAAGUACUUUUUUGUACAAGGUAACGUUAAACACAUGCCCAACCACGUACGUGCUUGUCUCAAAAGAUGCUUUAAUCUAGGUGUGUUGAAGUGUCAUCAUAUUGUUCAUUGCUUCCUAAACACUGCAUAUGUCACCAAAAGAGUUUUUAAGGAGUCCCUUUAAUGACCAAUGAGCACUCUCAACCCUACAAAUGAAAUAUACAACAUCAUAUAAACAACCGCAACAUUUUUAUUUAAGUCAACACUUAAACAAAUCAACACAAACAAAAAACAAUAUUCAUACAUGUUAGUGGUUGUGUUUCCUAGAUGCAUCACUUUGUUGGUCCAUGCUUUUACAAAUUUUUCUUUGUGCAGAAUCACCCAUGUUUGACACACAUAGUCCACAAACAUAGGCCAUGGAGAGCAAGUCAUUUCAAAGUUUUUAAGGUACUCAUCAAAAGAACUCUCACAUGAACAGUCAACCAAACUCCCCCAAGCCUUCAUCACAUAAUCUCAUGCAUUCUUUUGAGCAACUAGGGUUUUCUCCCUCUUAUGGAAGAACGGUAAGCAUGUCUAGCAUUGUAAAUUUGUUUGAUUGUUGUAUAACUGUUGGCAUCGUGCUCCUUCAACAUCAACAAAAUAUUUCUUGACGUCACCAUUGACUUCGUCAUAUCAGCAACAACAAUCUUCUCUUCCUUUGUCAGUCGACCCGCAUAUGGAUGACCAACUAAUGACUUUUCCAUUUCGUGAUUGUGAAUCCCACAAACUAACUUCACUAUCCAUCCUUCUCCUCCUAAAACUGGCAUCGCACGCAACUUGAACGGGCAUCCACAUUUUCUACUGUCAGUUCAUGUUCUUACCAAAUCAUUCUUCUUGGGCCUAUAUUCACCACUCAUUUCACAAGCUAUUAAUAGAAAGGAGGCCCUUCCUCGAACACCAGUAUUGGUGUCUAACCUCAUUAUCACGACAAAAAAUCUAAUGUCACGAGCCACCAAUUGAGCCCAUUGUAAAACUUCAUCACAACUAGCAAACAACUAUAAGACAAUUCAAAAAACAUCUAACAUCAAUAAACACGUAUGUAAUAUAAUUACUGUACCAACAACAACAAAUUAUACAAAUACCUGAGAAGUAUUAAAGGCAUCAGAGCAAUUGACAUGUUCUACUUUCACACCAGCAUCUUCCUCAUUUUUAACAUUCAUAUCAACUUCUUUAGACAUGAUAUUAUCAUACAUAUGUUGUUCUUCAUCCAUCUUAAUAAAACAUUUAACAAAUUCAAUGACAAAAAAUACAACUUUCAAAAAUUAUUCAAUCACCUCAUUUGUUAUCGACACAAAUAUAGCUGUAUAGAAAAAUAAAAUAUAAAUGUAUUGUACAUCAUAUAACCACAUACUACAUUUUUACUACACAUAUUUAUUAAAAUGUCAUAUAAAUCUAAUAAAUACAUAAUUGUAAUAAACAUUAAAAUACAUAAUUCAAUUAAACAUGUAAAUACAUAAUCAUUGUCAUAUAAAUCUGUUUAAUUAUUAAUCAUUAGUAAAUUAAUUUAUAAGCAAUCUAAUAUUAGUUUUAGCAAUUUUUAAAAGUUUAUAUAUAUAUAUAUAUAUAUAUAUAUAUAUAUAUAUAUAUAUAUGUAUGUAUGUAUAUUAUCUUUUUUUACCAUUCUAAUUACAGAAUACAUUUUUCUAUACAACUAUUAAAUAAUAUCACCAAAUCAAAAUUUCUAAAAUUGCUAAAAAUAUUUUAAAAAAAAUUAAAUAUAUAUUCAGAAUAUUUAUAUUUAAAUUGCAAUUUAAAUAAAAAAUUAAAUAUUACUUAAAUCCGUAUGAACAUACGGAUCAGAAAUCUGUAUGGUCCAUACGGAUCGCCAAUCUGUAUGGUUCAUAUGGAUCGCCAAUCUGUAUGGUCAUACGGAUUGCUUAUUCGUAUGGUCAUACGGAUUGCUGAUCCGUGUGUUCCUAAGUUUUUUCGUGUACCUCUUCUUCUUCUUCUUUAUAUUUAAAUUGCAAUUUAAAUAAAAAAAUUAAAUAUUACUGAAAUCCGUAUGAACAUACGGAUCAGAAAUCUGUAUGGUCCAUACGGAUUGCCAAUCCGUAUGGUCAUAUGGAUUGCUAAUCCAUGUGUUCCUAAGUUUUUUCGCAUACCUCUUCUUCUUCUUCUUCUUCUCCGACGACGAAUAAUGACUCAACUUCACCGUAUACUCCUAACGAUGCAUGUACACCACUGGAGACCAAAUACGCUUCGAAAACGACCCUAACGAAAGCAACUUAAACUAAUGGAGUGAGAUUUUGCGGAAACAAAAAAGCGCUGCAUAAAUGAAAAUCAAUUAUGCUAUUUAUAUGGAUAUUUUUUGCAUUUUUGAAAGUUGUUGGGUGCCCCAAGGAGCAGCCAUGAAGUGAUAGGUGCAGGACGCAAUAGCCUGCUAUUAGCCUAUUUAGGCCUCGAAACAGCGGGUUCAACAAACUAACCCUCUUCUCGAACAUUCUAGGCCAACAUUGGGCCUAGUCAAAAAGUCAAACAUGCGCCACUCAAGAUGCAAGCUCAUACGCAUGCACUCACACAAACGCGUGCGUCCGAAGGGUAUAAAAGCACCACCACCUCCUCCUCUCUCCAUCUUCAAGGUUUCUAUUUCAUCAAAAACAACAACACCACCAACACCAACACCAUGGGAAGAAGUAAGCUUCAACAACCUCACUCUUCUUUCAAUUUCUCAGUUUGUAUUGUGUAUAACUAUAACUUGUUAGAAGUAGUUGUUAGUUCUCUUACUUCAUAAUUAACUCUAUAUACUUCAGUUUUUAGACAACUUAAAUGAUAGAAGUAGAACUUGAACUUUUGUUUCCAAAUUCAGAAAAUUUAACCCUAGCCAUAUUUUAUUUUAGUACUUUUAAUGAUUAUCUUGGAUUCUUGAUGUUGUUUGUGGAAGUUUUAAUAUCCACUAAUCCCAUAGCUCAUCGCCACCAUUUAACUCCAGGAGGAUAUUAUUUUACCAAAAUUAGGAUAUAAACGUGAGUUAACAGCUUGGCUAGAAUGACUUUAAAAAGAAGUUAAACGCAGUCACAACACACAUCCAGCUGUUCUUGAAGUUUGGAUUUUGAAGAGUCAUUUGUAAAACACGGGUUUAUUUUCACUUUCAAAUAUUGGGCAAUGAAAAUAUUACUUUCAUUCUUAAUUAUAAGAUUAUUUUUUAAAAUUUGUUUGUCUCUUUUUUAUUAUAUUAUUUUUUUAAUUUUAGAUUAUUAAUUUUUUUUUACAAAUUCUUACUUAAUUAUUUUUUCUACAAGCAUUAAUGAAAAAUAAUUAAGUGGAUCAAAAAAUAAAAAGGAUAAUUUUGGAAUAAUAGUAUAAAUUUAAUAUGAUUAACUAAACUAAAUAUUUUAUUAAGAGAGAUGAAUUAGUUGAAAAAAUCUUUAUAAUUAAGGAUGAAAGGAAGUAUUUGACAAUUUUGUUAAAAAAUUAAGUUUGAGACAAAAGUUGCACUACUAAUAUUGCCAACGGAUUAAGACUCUUGCAAAAAGUUUAAGUGCAUAUUUGAUUUUUGGUUUGUGGUUGAAAUUGUUGUAGCAUGCAUUCCAAUACAAAUCCAACUAAUAAAAACAAAAGUAAGAGUCUUGAUCUUUUAGAGAAUUACUUUUGUCAUAAAUCAUUUUGCAUCGGAUUGCAAACAUACACAAUAUCUUUAUCAUUGACAAAAAUUGCAAACAAACACAUCUCAUGUGUUUGCAAUCGUGGCCGCAAUAACUUUAAAAUUCUCAAUAUUCAAAAUACUAAAAACAAUUUUUAUCAUAUUUCUAGCAAUGUAAAAUGAACAGAAUGCUAGCAAUUGUUACAUAACAUGAUAACAGAUUGCUAGCAAUCCAAAAUUAACAAUUUUAAACACAAGCAGCAUGUAACAGCUUUUAAUAAUACAAAGCUUGUAAAGCUUGGAUAAGGUUGAAUUUAGUAGUAAUGCCCAUUGAUUUGAUAGUUGUCUUACAAUUUUCAGGGGAUUUACCAAGCUCAGUCGAAGUGAGUAUUUGAAGUUGAAGUCUGGGAACAGAAUUGUGCCAGAUGGGGUCAAAGCCAAGGUUUGUCUCUAGACUAUUGAUAGCAGUACUACAACAUUGCACCAGGAGGAACGUCCACGAAGACAAGCCUCACGCCCUAAACACCUUGAGGAUUACGUAUAAACUUACGUAUAAACUUGUACCAUGCAACAUAGAGAAUGCAACACCAGUUAGUUACGUUAGCUUUAGACCGUUAUUCCGUUAUCUUGGUUAGUUACGAGCUAUAACGGUGCAACACUAUUGUAUAAAAGGAACACCAUAUUCAUGAAUAAAGGAAAGCAAAGCCAUUUUUGAUAAUAAUAGUUAGCAUAGAUACUUCUCUUCCCUUCUCACCCAUAACAGCUUGGUCCGACCUGCUACUAUGGCGGAGCACGGUACCCGCCGCACCACCACUGAUCGUCUCGAGGAGGCCAUCUCGACCCUCGCCGCAAAACACUCCAAACUAGCCACUUAGGUUGACGCCAUGUGUGAAAAUUUUUCUAACAUGCCUCCGCAUCAGCAUCCAUCUUCUUCUCCUCGCCUACAUCAGCGCCCCCCCUUCAAGCUUGACGUACCACAAUUUGACGGCCACGAUCCACUGGGAUGGAUCUUCAAGAUCUCCCAGUUCUUCGAUUAUCAAGGAACGCCAGAAGAAGACCGCAUCACUAUCGCAUCCUUUUACCUUGACAGCGCCGCACUCAGCUGGUUCCAAUGGAUGUAUCGAAAUGGCUUUAUUACAUCAUGGCAGGCAUUACUUCAGGCAAUUGAAACUCGCUUCGCUCCAUCAAUUUACGAUGAUCCUCGUGGCGCAUUGUUCAAACUGGUUCAACGAGGCUCAAUCACGGAGUACAUGACGGAGUUUGAGAGAUUGGCAAAUCGUAUCGUUGGUCUCUCUCUUUCCGAUGUACUGAGUUUCUUCAUUUCCGACCUCAACCCCGAAAUCCGGUGAGAGGUGCAGGCACUCCAACCUGUUUCAUUACCUCACGCCAUGGCCCUCGCCCGUCUUCAAGAAGAUAAGAUCAAUGAUCGUCGGAAAACCCCGCGGUCUUCCUUUCCUCCCCCACAGACCCAGGCUCCAUCCUUGCCUAUUCAAACCCAAACAUCUCGACCUAAAACUCCCUUCAUUCAGUGUACUCCAGAGGACAUGAUGUACAGGCGCAAAAAGGGCUUGUGCUACAACUGUGAUGAGAAAUGGAGCUCCUCUCAUCGAUGUAAAGGACGUGUUCUUUUGUUCAUUGUAUACUCCGAUGAGUCCUCUACCUCUGAUAUCACCCUCACAGAGGCCUCGCCACAAUCUAUCAAUGAGACGGUGCCACCAUUCGACCCCACCCCACUUCACCCUCAGAUUAGUCUCCACGCCAUGGCUGGCAUUCCGGCCAUCGACACAUUUCGUCUCUAUGGUGUCAAUAAUCACGCUCGUGUCACUAUCUUGGUGGACAGCGACAGUACACACAAUUUCAUCCAACCACGUGUUGCGAAGUUUCUUGGGUUGGCAAUGGAGGAAACCAUGGCCCUUCGAGUGAUGGUAGGAAACGACUCAGUCUUGGAAUGCCGGCAACUGUGCCCCGCCACCUCCUUGCUCAUACAGGACCACUCAUUCACAGUGACGCUGCGCAUUUUGCCGUUAAGUGGCGCCGACGUCGUUUUGGGCAUUGAGUGGUUAAGCAUCUUGGGCCCUAUUAUUACCGAUUACACCUCCUUUACCAUGCAUUUCAGCCACUUGGGCCAGCCCGUUAGCCUUCACGCAGACGUUCACACCAAUACUGACCCAACCUCAGCCCAUCAACUUCGACGCAGCAUCCACACCCACUCGGUCUCGGGUUUGUUUCACUUGUCUCUUAUACCCGUCACCUUACCCGAACCAGACACCGACCCACCUCACCCCAUUUCCACCAUUAACGACCUUCUACUCAAAUUCCAAACUCUUUUCCAGCAACCCACCACCUUACCACCGCCUUGAUAGCACAACCACCACAUCAACCUCCUUCCCUCAGCCCACCUAGUUAACGUUAGGCCCUAUAGGUACCCCCACUUUCAAAAAAAUGAGAUCAAAAAACAUGUGGCAGCGUUACUCGAGUCCGUCUUUAUCCAACCAAGUCGUAGCCCAUUCUCCUCACCAGUAUUAUUGGUGAAGAAGAAGGACGGCACAUGGCGUAUGUGCGUCGACUAUCGAGCACUUAACGCGAUCACGGUGCGAGAUCGUUUCCCGAUACCAACCAUCUUCUAGAUGAGCUUAGUCGCGCUUCAUGGUUCUCGAAGCUCGACUUACGACAAGGCUUCCAUCAGAUUUUAAUGGCGGAUGACGACAUUCCUAAGACCGCGUUUCGCACCCAUCACGGUCACUACGAGUAUAGGGUCAUGCCUUUCGGCUUAUGGAACGCGCCCUCGACCUUUCAGGCAGCCAUGAACGCCCUACUCAGUCCCUUCUUGCAGAAGUUUGCGGCAGCCUUUUUUGAUGACAUAUUGAUCUAUAGUGAGUCCCUUCCUGAUCAUCUUCUUCAUCUGGAGUGUAUCUUUCGUGCAUUGUCGCAGGCCCAGUACUACCUCAAGCAUUCAAAAUGCUUAAUUGGCCAGCGCCAACUUGACUACCUAGGCCACGCCGUGUCCGGCAGUGGGGUGCAACUUGAUCCCUCUAAGGUUCAGGCCAUCGUUGACUGGCCUACUCCUCGCUCCCCGAAGGACCUUCGAGCCUUCCUUGGCCUCACAGGGUUCUAUCGUAAAUUCGUUAAAGGAUACGCAGGCAUGGCGGCACCACUGACUAAGCUACUAUGCAAAAACGCCUUCCACUGGACUUCCAAGUCUCGGACCGCAUUCGAUUCCUUGAAAACCGCCAUGACCAUAGCCCCAAUCCUCACCCUACCCAAUUUUGGCCUUCCCUUCAUCCUCGAGACAGAUGCAUCAGGCAGUGCCAUGGGAGCAGUUCUCCAGCAACAAGGCCACCCCAUAGCAUUUUUUAGUAAGCCUUUCUAUCCUCGACUUCAACAUGCAUCUGCAUACGUUCGUGAAUUACACACGAUCAUUGCCGCAGUCCGCCGGUGGCGGCAGUACCUACUUGGCCACAAGUUCACGAUAUUCACAGACCACAGGAGCCUCUGGGAGCUUAUGUCUCAGGUAGUUCAGACACCUGAACAACAGUUCUAUCUAGCCAAGCUCCUGGGAUUCGAUUAUGAUAUCCAAUAUAAGGCUGGAUCCUCAAAUAUAGUCGUGGAUUCCCUUUCUCGUGUUGACUGCUCUUCCCAGGGUCAGUGCCUCAUCCUUUCGGUCCCUCACCAUGAAUUUAUGAUGCAGUUAAAGGAGUCGUUGGAAGCUAGCACAGAGUUCCAACAGCAACGCGCUGCCAUACUCUCGCAUCCUGAGAAAUACGCGCUGCCAUACUCAUCAGGGGUGCAAUUUGGUUAGACUCGAAGAACCCCUUCAUACCGGCACUGUUAUAUGAGUACCACGCCGCGCCUAUAGGAGGCCAUUUCGGAGUGAAGAAGACACUGCAUCGCCUGCAAUCAAGCUUUCAGUGGGCUUCCAUGGCGAAGGACGUUCGAACAUUCAUUCGUAAGUGCAACGUGUGCCAACAGGUCAAGCACAUCACACAAAGACCUGCGGGGUUGCUACAACCGAUUCCAAUACCUAACUUCGUCACGCACCUUCCAAGUUCGCAUGGUUUCACGGUGAUCCUCGUGGUGGUUGAUCGGUUUUCCAAAGGCGUCCACCUAGGAGCCUUACCUACUCAGUUCAUGGUGUUCAAAGUGGCCACCUUGUUCAUUGAUACGGUGUGUAAGCUCCACGGGUUUCCUCGUAGUAUUAUCUCCGAUCGAGAUCCCGUCUUCAUAAGCUCCUUCUAGCGAGAGUUGUUUAGAUUGCAUGGCACGACCCUGCGUAUGAGCACAGCCUACCAUCCUCAAUCGGAUGGGCAGAUGGAGGUCAUGAAUCGCACCAUUGAGCAGUAUCUUCGUUCAUUCGUCCACUAUCAGCCGGCGGAGUGGUACAAGUUCCUUGCCCUAGCAGAGUGGUCCUAUAAUACUUGACAGCACUCCAGCACAGAGAUCACUCCGUAUUAAGCUAUCUACGGCAAGCCACCGCCUUCCGUCCCUAGCUACAUCCUGGGCUCUUCCCACAAUGAUGCAGCAGCAACAGUUCUACGAACAAGGGCAGAGAUUCACACGGCACUCAAACGUAGGCUGACCAAAGCCCAGGAUACCAUGAAACAAUUCGCGGAUAGGCAGAGACGAGAAGUCCAAUAUGAGGUUGGACAAUUGGUGUACGUUAAGCUUCGCCCCCAUCGUCAGCUUUCGGUACCAACAGACAAACCCAAUAAGCUCACCAAACGCUACUUUGGGCCAUUUUGCAUUUUGAAACGUAUCGGUCAGGUCGCUUAUCGUCUACAGCUUCCUCCGGGGUCCAAGAUACACCCUGUGUUCCACUGUUCGAUGCUCCGCCCUCAUCACGGGCCCUUCGAGUUACAAACUUCCUCUCUUCCACCUGAAGCCAUUCACAAUCAACCCCUCUUAAAACCUCUAGCCAUCCUUGGCUCACGAAUGGACUCAUCCACAUCCCCACCCACUCGUUCAGUGCUAGUACAGUGGGCUGGCUUACCUCCAAAAGAUUCUACUUGGGAGAAUUGGGAGGAUGCCCGUGGUGACCAUCACCUUGAGGACAAGGUCAGUUUCCCAGGGGAGGGUAAUGAUAGCAGUACUGCAACAUUGCACCAGGAGGAACGUCCACAAAGAUAAGCCUCACGCCCUAAACACCUUGAGGAUUACGUAUAAACUUGUACCAUGCAACAUAGAGAACGCAGCACCAGUUAGUUACGUUAGCUUUAGACCAUUAUUCCGUUAUCUCGGUUAGUUACGAGCUAUAACGGUGCAACACUAUUGUAUAAAAGGAACACCAUAUUCAUGAAUAAAGGCAAGCAAAGCCAUUUUCGAUAAUAAUAGCUAGCAUAGAUACUUCUCUUCCCUUCUCACCCAUAACAACUAUGACAUAUGGUUUUGAAAAGAUUUCUAGCAAUGUGAUUUUUGGAUCAAAGGAUUGAAUUUUUUGUUUGUUCUUUUUAGGUUCUUGGGUGUCACGGUCCUUUGGCGAAUCAUGAGCCUGAAAGAGCUUUCUUACCAGCUACUGCUUAGGCCCUUUAGCAGUUAGCACUAGGAAAUUCAUUGAAUAUGUGGUUUUCUCUUUUCACAUGGUGAAUGGAUAUGUUGUUGUAACUAUAAAAUUGUGUUUCUGCUUGUGUUUUGUUAGAAGAUAUCUGAAUUAUGUAUUUGUCUAUCUUCCAAGAUGUCCUAGGGGCUUGAAAGAUGCAACAUUUGAUGUAUUUAAAUCUCAUUAUUCUGUAAGAGUUUGAACGUAAUGGAAAUAAAUAUAUAUGGUCUCUAUUGUGUAUAUUGUUUCUACCCUUAGCGUUUUGAAAUGUAGUAAAAAAUACAAAAGGAGGAGUCCACAUGCCCCUUAUGUUUUCCUUUUAGCAUACUUCACCUUUUCCUUUAAAGUUUGUAGAGCACCAUACAUAACAGAAAAUAAUUUCCAUUUAGGAUGUUUUUUAAUUGAGAGAUACUAGUAACACAGUCUUUUAGUGGGUAGAAAUCUUCUGAACUAAAUAACAAUUUUAACAAAAAAUGAGUAGAAGUUUUCCAACAGAAUGAAUGGUUGCCCUAUCAUGUAAUAUUCUUCAAGGGACCUGUAAAAUGUGCUAAGAGUUUGACAAGAACUGAGUGCUCUGGUUUAUGAUCACAUUUAAAGUCUAAAUGAACAAAUGUCCAUGCAACUUCUGGAAUUUCUCUAGCUUUAUCUGUAGGCUCUCUCCAUUAGUGUGUGCUUUUAACUUUUAAGGGUAAAUCUUUGAGUUGUUCAAUGUCAACUUGUUCCAAAUUAAAUCCAGAUGAUGAGGCAUAUAAUCUAAUCAUUAUGAAGACUAAUACGUGUACAUACUUUCUGUCUCACAAACUCUAAGAUUAAUAUGAACCAUUAAGGAAAAAAGUUACAGUAGGAUUAAGGUUUGUAAGUGUUGGGAUCCUUCCUUAAUUGGAGAGGUUCUAGAAAAUUCUAGAGUUUUCUAGAAAAGUGUAGAAUUUUCUAGAACGUCCUGGAGAACUCUAGAGUAGUGUAAAACUCUCUAGAAGCUUGUGGAAGAAUAUGGAAACCUCUGGAAUAUUCUGGAGAUGUGCGGAACCUUCCAGAACCUUAUGGAAGAGUAUGGAAGGGGGUAGAAGAGUGUAGAGACUCCUAGAAUGUGUGGAGCAUUCUAGAGAAUUAAUCUCCACCCUAGGAUACAAGUAAUCUCCACCAUUCAUUGUGGAGGUGGAGUAGUAUAAAUAAGGGUAGGAGCCUUCAUUCCUAACCAUCCAAGACAAGAGUGAAUCCACUUCUUAGAGUGAGAAAGCUAGAAAGUUAGAGAGCCUCUCUGAGAGAGAAGAUAAAUAGAUUGGGAAGUCUCUAUCCUCAAGCUUUAGUAAGCCUCUCUAAGAGAAAAGAUAAAUAGCUUGAGAAGUCUCUAUCCUCAAGCUUGAGUGAGCCACCGUAGAGUGAGUCGAUCUCAAGACAAGAGUGAAUUCACUCCUUGGAGUGAGGAAGCUAGAAAGUUAGAGAGCCUCUUUGAGAGAGAAGAUAAAUAAUUUGGGAAGUCUCUAUCCUCAAGCUUGAGUGAGUCACCAUAGAAUGAGUCAAUUUUGUAAACACAUCCUUGUAACCCUACUAUCAUUUUGCAUAGUGGAAGAAUCUCCAUAUUGGAGAAAUAUAAUCGUGUGCUCUCAUUAUUACCUUUAAUUACUAAGUGUCUAUCUUAAACUUCACGAAGCGGGAAAGUCCGAGUUUUCCCAAUAGUAAGAAAGUCAUUUAACAUAGAUGAGUAGGAAAGGUUUGUAAGAAUAAAGCUUGUGCUAGUAUCACAUCAAUAAACUAACCAUGACUACCAUGUAUUCCUCAGUGUGAAUGUAAUUGCGAAAAUGAGUUACACAAUAACUUUUCUAACAUUCAACAAAUAGAAUUAGUUUUAUAUAGCUAUUUUUACUACAAUAUGAAUUUCAAGAGCAGUAGGAUUCUAAUCAUUAACAUAUAUAGACAUUAAAGGUAAUAUUGAACUGCCUGCACUCCUAACUUCCCAAUUGGAUAUUGAUAUUUGUGUUCUUCAUUGCAAGUUGAGUGAACCAAAAUAUGCCACCACCAUUGAGAUCAAGCAGAGAUUCUAGAGUUAUGUUGCAAUAGCUAUUGACCCACUCUUAUAGUAGCAUAAACCAAUGUGUGCAUAUUAUUUUACAGAAUCAUCAUCAACAAGUAUUGUAAAAUAACAAUAUGCACAAGUCAAAUAGUAGCUAUUGCAACAUCAACUCUGGAUUCUCUGCUUGAUCUCAUGGUUGGUGGCAUACUUUGGUUCACCUACCUAGCAAUGCAGAAAACAAAAUUGAAGCUAAGAGUACAGCCAGUUCAAUAGUUUAAACAAAAAGAACAAAAGAAAAACAUGAUUCAAGAUCAUAGGUUACAGCAGUAAAAAAAAUUCCUCUGUGCAUUCAUUAACUUGAUAUAAAUAGAGACAGAGAAAGAGAGAUAGCUUUGCUUAAGGAGGUGGAGGAGGAGAGAUCAAUUUGAGAGAGAACAUGCGACGACGUUUGUCGUCGAUUGAUUCACCAUGGAAGCAAAUUCGGGAAACUCAGAAAUUUGCCAUCACCUUAAGGAGGUGGUGGAGGAGAGAUCAACAUGGAAGAGUCACCCGAUUCACUUCCAUGAUGAAUCAAUUUACGAUAAAGGUCAUGGCAUGGCCCAUGGGAUUCAGAAACUUUAAAUUGUGGGGAAAUACUUAUAGGAGACUGGAUUCUCUCCUGAAAAUAUCUUCUCCAGCAGCUCUUUAGAGCCUUGGAUGGAUGUUGGAAAAAAAAUGUUUCUCUGUCUUUGCUCAAACUCGUCUAAAAGCAAAAGGUAUUUUUUUUUCACUGUUGGAAAAAAAUCUUCUCUCAAGUCCCAAGCUCAUCAAAAACUAAAUGGUAGGACUAAAAGGUUGGACUGAUUAAUAGGUCGUUAACAAAAAUAAUUAUCAAGGAAUUAAGAGGUUGAAUUAUGAAGUUAUUGGUUACUUACAAAUUCAAAUUUUGUUAUAUUUGGAUCUAAAUAUUCUUAAAAUUCUUCUUGAUAAUCUAACAUAACACAUUCCUGAUGGUACUGGUUACUAUUUUAUAGAUCGUUACGCCUUUCGUGCGGGUCGGAACUUACCCAACAAGGAAUUUCGCUCCUAGACAUUAUCCGGGUAAGAAUGAAGCCAACUCUAAAUUUAACUUCACAGUAUGCACAAAAUAUCAAAGAGCAUAUAAACAGUAUGUUAAUACAGAUCUAAUUAUUAAUUAAACAUAUAAAAAAGUUCUUUGAUAAAAACAAAACACUCUUAAAAUAUCUUUGUGUCCUAAAAAAAUCUCUUAGUUACUAAUUAAAAACGUUAUUGCUAAAAAAAAUCAGCAUUUCAUCCCUGCUGAUUCUCCUAAAAGGAACCCCUGUUGAUUCUGAUAACUAUGAUUUGCCUUACACGAUGAGUAAUAAUAUGAAAAUACAUUCCAUUACAGAUAUUCUAUUAAUAUUUUUAUUUUCUAUUUAUAUUACUUCAUUUAUGUUACUUAUAUUUUUUUUAUUUCUUUAAAUGUCAAAUUGAUCCACCAUUUUCCCUAGACGUUAUGUGUCGGCACGGCAGUACCAACGAUGCAUUAAAAUUUGACAUUGGACCAACUCAACGGACAUUAUUAAUGAAUUAUUAUGAAUUAUGGACCACUUCUAUUUGUGCUAUAUAAUUUUUACAAUGGAAUUCAAAUGGUUUAACUUUUUAUUUUAGCAUUGAAAUGCUGAAAUACUGUAUAAAAUUUUAAAAGCACGAUUUAGUCAUUUAAUUUAGAAUGAUAAAUAAAUACGUUAGUUUAUAAAUAUUUAAUAUUUAAUUAAACUUUAUAAAGUAAUAAUAAGUGUAUUUUAAAAAAUAAUUAUAAAAAUAUUGUCAAUAUUAAUGAUAAAUGUUAGAAACUUUAACUACGACAGAUAAAUAAAUUUUGGAAACAUUUUUAAGGUUAAAAACAAAAUAUUUAUUAAGUACAAUGUUAAACAUAAUAGGUUUAGUAAAAAUAUGUGUAAAAUACUAAUUAUGACUGAAUCAAUAACAUGACAGAGAGCGAGGGGUACCAUAGCGGAGAGACUUAAUCAUGUGCAAAUCCAUCAUUAGGAGAGGAAGGAGAUAUUGACACAAUAUUUGUAAUCCUUGUUUAAUUUGGAUGACAAACAACGCAGAGAGAAGCACGAUGAAGCGGAUUCUGCGGAAGACAACAACCAAAAAUAUGGCGUGCUCGUGGGAGAAAAAUAAAUUUUAGAUUAAUUAUUUGUAUUAUUAAAAAUAAAGUUAAGUUACAUUGUUGCCCUUUUACUGAUGAUGCUGGUUUCAAAUAGCAAUUAAUGAUUAUUUUGUCUAAUUAAAAAGAUGCAAGUUGCUAUAAUACUCUUUCUUAAAAGUGAGUGGGAAUAUUAUAACAAAUAAGAGUAUAACAAAUUAUAAAUUCUAUCUUGAUUGAAGUAGUUAAAUAUGAAGUAGGAUUGUACAAAACAACUAAUAAGGCUGUAGUUCCCCUUUAGAAAAAAAAAAAAAAAAAAAGGCUGUGCUUUGUGGAUUUUCUUUUCCUAAGUAGUUUGUAGAUGUUAGCUGAAGUAGUCAGUAUUAUCAGUAACCCGACCUUACAUUUUUUCUUCAUAUCUCACUAAUAAAAAAUAAACAUGUGUGAUGAACUUAUUGGUGAUCUUAAAGAUUGUAUUCCAACUGUUAGGUAAUAUGUGUCUUCCUUCCUUUAUAUUAAAAUUUAAAUUUAAACUUGAUGUAUAAAAUAUAUCUGAAAGAGUUACGUUUAUCAUGUAGUAAAUAUUUUUGCUUGAAAUAAAAAAAUAUUUUAUGUUGAAAAAAUACUGGGGUAAUUAUCAAAAAGGACCCCUGGCAUUUUAUUACCGUUAAAAAAAUUUAUAUACAUACAAUUCAAUAAUUAGAUCAAAUUUUGAAAAUAAUAUAAUAUUACAAUCAAUAAUUGGACCAAAAUUUUUAAUGUAUUUCGUUGUUAACAUUAUAACGUUGGUCUCUCUCUUUGUUGGUGUAAUAAUGCGCUAUUUCCCUUCUAACACUAAUAGAUUUGAAACAUUAAAUAAAAUUAACAUUAACAAUUAAAAGUCAGAACUCUCAAGUUUAAAAACGACUUGAAGUAGUCUACUUCCCAUAUAAUACAUCAUUGAUAAUGAUUAAUGAUUCAUCCAUUUGAAAUUGGAACUUUGAAAUUGUGUCAAUGAUACAUAGUAGGGGAAACUUAUAGUUAAUUGUGAAUUUUUGUAUUUUAUUUUCGCGAAGUAACAAACUAACUAAUUAUUUAAUGCAAUCGUAUACUUAAUUUAAAAAUAAUAAAUAAGUUGAAUGAAUAUUUAAUCAUUGGUCAAAUAAAUAUGAUAUUCUCGUUCUUGUUUUUAAAGUGUAAGUUUCUAUACAUAAUACAAAAAUAAAAUUAUAUUUUAAUAAUAUAAUCCUACCUACACCCAGUUAGCUAUAAAAAGAUCGAGAAAGACUCUCAUACAAUGGGAUUGUUGAAUCACGUUUGUAAGGUGUAGAACACGCCGUGUUGAUCUCUCAACUCACAUUAAGCUUUAUCAUUUUAUCCUAUAUUAAGGGAGUGUUAGUAAUACAUUAUUAAUAUUUUUCAUUAUAAAAUUAUAAAUAAAUUAGAUUUGAAAAGAAAUAUACUAAUAUAGUAUUCAAUGUUAUUAAUGUAAUAUAUAUACAAUUAUAUAAAUACAUACUUUUUCCUAAUUAUAUUGAGGUUUUUUAAAAAUUAGUUUAUAAAACAAGUUUUUUUUUUAAAUAAAAAAACGCAAAGACCGCAAGUAACUUACGAGUGAAUUUGUCUGUUGAUGUUUUCUUUUUAGUUUUGAAUUUUGAAUUUUUUUUAUCAGAUCUUUGCAACUAUCAAAUAGGGAGGAGAGUUUUCAUGCUAAACAAGAAUAAACUCAAAAACAGUGCACUUAAAUUUUCCGCAAUAAUCCAAGUGGACCUUGGACUCACGAUACUUUCUUGGCACUUGCUAUUUACUCCUUGCUUUUGCUAAGUACACCCCAUCCCCCUUUUUCAUAUUUUAAUUACCCAUUAUACCCUUUUUCCUUAAAGGGAUACACCCCUUGGAAUCUUCUUUUUCUAUUAUGAAAAUGUAUUUCUGGAAUUAUACUUAUUCCAAAAAUGUAUCAUAGUUCUAGAAAUACAUUUUUGGAAUAGGUAUAUGUUAUUUUGGAAAGACAUUUCUAGUAGUUAAAAAAAUAGCUUAACCAACUCACUUAAGAGACACUACACUCUUUAAUCAAUGACGUAAACCUAGAUUACAAAAUGAACACUUAUUUGAAUGCACUCAAAGGAGAGAAACCAUUGUUAAAUGCUUUGCUUUGCAAUUAAGAUGUAUAAUAGAGGAAAUUAAUGAUGAAUGUGCCUUGAAAUGUAAUGUCAUGUGAAGGAAAAUACACAAUGUUAUAUGUAAUAUACACAAUAUUAUAUAAUGAAUAUAUGUGAAUGUGGGGUUAAAAUUAGAUUUUAAAGAAUAAUAGUUAUGACAUGAAAAUAAGACUAACAAACAUGAGGGUGUAAGAUAAGAGAUUAAAAGGAUACGUCACAUUACGUUUCAAGGUAUAUUUAUCACUAAUUUAAUCUAUUAUAUACCUCAAUUGUAAAACAAAGAUUUUGACAUUGGUCUCUCUCCAUUAAGUGCAUUCAAAUGAACCUUCAUUUUCUAAUCUAGGUUUACAACAUUAAUGAUUGCAAGCUGCAAAUGACUCUUAACUCUUAAGUGAUUUGGUUAAGAUACGUUUUAUUACUAAAUAAAUGUCUUUUCAAAAUAAGUAUAUGUCAUUUUGGAAAGACAUUUCCAAAAGAGAAAAAGGAGGUUCUAAGGGGUGUAACCCUUUAAGGAAAAAAGGUAUAAUGGGUAAUUAAAAUUAAAAAGGGAGAAUAGUUGUAUAUUUAGCAAAAAUAAGGAUGUAAGUAGCAAAAAUAGGGCUGUAAAUCAUACAUUAAGGAGAAUUAGUAACUAGGCUGAAGCAAUCUCACCACAUUAGUCAAGUAGGGUUGUUGCUUCCUAUGUAACAUUAUGGUUUCCCUAAUUUCUAAUUAAGUUGUUUUAAUUAGAUAACAUGAAUAAUUUAAUUUAAUUUAAGUGUCAUAACUAAGUAAGAGUUUAAUGUCUAUGCACUAACGGUGUAUAAUAGUUUUACACGGUCAUCCAAUCAUAAAUCACCAUUUGAAUUAUUUUAAGAUAAUUAUUUUAAAAGCCAAUAAACUUAUCAUACAUACUGAGUUGUGAUUGGAUGAUCGUGUAAAAUUUUUUACACUGUUAGUGUGUAACCAUUUUUCUCAUUAAGUAAUUAAUUAUGCGAUGAUGGUGUGUAAUGCUUGUAUGUAUGUUAUGGUUAUAUAUGCGGAAAUCCUUGUUUGGGUGUGAGUAGUAAGUUUUAGGGAGUUUGGGAUGAGAUGAAUGAGCCUUUAGUGAUAGGAAUGGAGUGGGUGAACUUAGGAAGUGAUGGGGUGCAAAUAGAAAGAAGAGAAAGAGUUGUAUCACUAAAAACUGAACCACAACACAAACCCUUUCAUUUCACUCUCUUUUUCCUCUCCAAGACAAUCACCCACCAUUAGAGAGCCAUUAGAGAGUGUGAGACCUUGAAAUUUUAGCAUAAAGGACAUUGUUGUUGAGCUUCUUUGUUUGAAUUUGGAUUGAUUUCAAAGGUAAAAGACCUUCAUUUUUUCCCUCUCAUCCUCCAUUUUCGUUUUUCUCCAUGGACACUUUUAGAAGUUUCAUAUAUGUGUUCUCUUUCAAGGUUUUGAUGUGUUUUAUGUUGGUUUUUGGGAUUUGGGUGGUGUGGAUAAAGUAAAAUUGUAGUAGGAGUGAGGGAAAACUUGCAUCUUGGACCCAACGUUUUCUCAUUUUUUCCUUUUCUUCAUCUCAAAGCAAGUUCCUUGAGUUUGAUAGGUAAUUGAAGCUUUAAACUAACUUUUAUCUUAUGUUUGAUGUGUUGGAUAAUUGUUUUUAGAUUAUUAAUGGUGACUUAAUUCGAUGUUCAUGUUUGGAAAUAAAAUAUUUGAGUUGGAUAUGGGUUGGAACUUAUUAGAGGUCAAGAAAAACAUAAAAUUGUGAUUCUGCAAACCUUGUUUUGCAAUGGCUAAAAUUAUUUUCGUUGUGGCUAAAAGUUGAGUGAGGUCUCUUGACCUUGUUUUGCCAUGGCUAAAGUUAUUUUCCUUACGGCUAAAAUUUGCAUUAUGGCUAAAAUUAUUUUCAUUAUAGCAAGAAUCUAUCAAGUUAUAGCAAAAAUUUAAGUGAAGUUUGUGGUCCUUCUUUUAUCGUGGUGAACUUCAAGCUUUUUGAGGCAAAAAUGGAUCUUAAACUCUUCUUAUAUUUUCCUUUGAAUUGUCCUUGAGCUAGUGAAUAUUUCAAUAAAGACAUUAAAACUCUCUGUUAUUUCUUGAAUUCUUAUUAUUCAAGUUUAUUCACAUUCAUAUGUUGAGAUUGUGUUUGAUUAUGAUAACUCAUGGUGUGAAAAGUCUUGUGAUAUGUAGAUGAACUAUGUGAGAGUUCAUAUUAGGUGAAAAUGAUAUGAAUAAUGAAUUGAAGAGGAAUUAAACAAGAUGUGAAUGAUGGACUGAUGGUAAGUUGAAUGAGAUGUAUGAAGUUGAAGUCAUGCUAUUAUCGUGUAACUAACUUUGUUUUAUGAACUAAUAUAAGAUGAUUUUGAUAUGAUAUGUUGAGUAACUAUAUGUACAUGAGGACUCAUAAAAUACUUAUUGUUGAAGUGAUGAUACUUGUAUAUGUCUUAAUUAUUGUAGUAAGAAAUGCUCAUAAAUAUGUUAAUUGAUGAAUAUAUGAUUUCUUGAUGAUGGUUUGAGAUGUGGUUGAGAUGAUAUUGUUUUAUGAUUAUAGUUGACUUUAUUUUGAGAUUAUGAGAUUCACAUUCAUGAGUUUCUGGGGAGUUGUUUGCAAUAAUUGAAGGUGUUGGAAUGUAUUGCUAUACUUAAUGAACUAUAGGAGGGUCCAUGAGUGUGAUAAACAUAUGAUAUUAUAACCUCUUAUGGUGUUGAGAUUGGUGAAUGAAUUUGUGAUGACAUAUUAUAUUGAUUUGAAUGAUCAUAACAUACAUGCAUUGAUGAAUGACAUUGCAUAUGAGUAGGCACGUAAGUUGAGGAUGCUUGGUGGGUGCUCAGCCUAGUGUUAGAGGUUGUCAGUGGUGAAUAACGGAAAUGAGCCUAUAUAAUAGAUGUGUGGGUGAAUCCAUAAAUAGAUUAAGGUCUUUUCAAGCCUUACUAAGGUAACCCACUAUCAUGUUCAUCCAUUUUUUUUUAUAAAAUCACACUUCCUCCGUAGGGUUAAUUUGAGUCUCCCUGAAUGGUUAAGGUGUGACUACGUUAAGGGAUGUACUUAGGUUAAUCAUUCAAGGUGAAAUCUUUGAUGAGUAAAGAGUCAGCAUGACAUAACAUGAUAGUUAGACAUAUGCAUUGAUAAUUGGGAUUUGAGAAUGAUGUGUUACUUGAUGAAUCAUGGAGAACUUUGAUGCCUGGUGAUUGAUGGACUGAUGAUGACAUUGAUGUAUAAUGGUUGAACCUUUAAGUAAUGUGUGAUUAACUGAUGAUUGUUGUGAGAUGCAUUGUUAUGAGGAUUUUAAGACUUAUGCUUUAUGUAUGAUUUCUACAAGUUAUGUUAUAUAUGUGAUAUUAGUGGAUCAUGCUUUAGUUGUGAAGUUAUAGUAUGCUAGUUUUUUUUUUUUGGUAAGCUUACCCUUACAUUGUUAUAUGUGUGAUUCAGGCAUGUGAUGAUCCUGUAUCUGACGUACGUGGGGAACAAAUAGCUAGGAGGUGACCUUGUGUCAUUUGAGACUUCAUGGACAUACAUACUGAUGUGAAGACGUGAUUUCUGUUUUUGUUGCCUCUUUAUAGUCAUGUAUAGUGUUGAUCGACUUAGAGUUAUGUAGUUUAUCCUUAAAGUGUGGUUUAUGUUUAUAUGUACAUUCUGAGGAGAUUUGAGUUACUAUGAUAUGUGCGUGUGUGUGUGUGUGUAUAUAUAUAUAUAUCAUGUGAUAUUUUAUUUUGGAGUUGUGCGUUUUAGCCUUUGACCUUUGAAAUGUGAAAAGUUUACAUGUAUUUUCCUAAUCAAAUUAAUAGAAGAGUUUUAAAUGAAUUAAAAUAAUUCUUCUGCAUGAGUUAGUUCCUAAUUUCAUGUGACAAUGAUGGAUGGUUACAUCCUGCACCCAACAUUUUUCUUCAUGCACCUACAUAUUCUUAAAUAUUCCAACAUGUCAUUUCUUCAAGUUCAUACACGGACAACCUUAUCCCUAACUAAUGAACUCUCAUCUACUAUUGUUAUCUAGCGCCCAUCUAUUUCUUCAAGAUGUUUACUUGUUGCCCACCCCAAAGAGUUUAAUAGUCAUGCACUUACAAUAUAAAAUUAUUUUAGAAAAGGAUUCAUUCACAAAUUACUCAUUGUAUAAUUUUUAAGACCAUUAUUGAAAAAGACAACAAACUUACCAUACAUUGUGGUUAGUGAUUAAAAGACAAUUUUAUAUUGUAAGUGCAUAGUAUUUGUCUCUAAAAAUAAUAGGUUUUAAGACAUUUGUAGAAUGCAUUUUUUAUGUUAGAUAAAUUAAUUUACAUUAUUUUGUAUUAAAUAAAUAAAAACAACGGGAUUAAAAAUUUUAAUUUACAAAUCUUGCAUGGAACAUUGAAGAAUAUAAUAAGUAUAGAAUUCAAUUGUAAUGUUAUUAAAAAAAUUAUUUUUCAUUUGAGAGAAAAAAUAUAUCAAGAAAUUUUGUGACACAUUUUUAUUUAAUUCAGAUCUUUAACAAAUAUUGUAUAUAAAAAUAUUUUAACAAAAUAAAAACUGGAAAAUGUACAUUAAUUUAAUGCACACAACAACAAUAAUAAUAAAAAUAAAAAUAAUUUACAUCGACCACUUUUUAAAUUAAUGAUUGUCUUUAUAACAUAUUUAACUACCGAAUUCUUAAGUAACAAACUUCUAAAAAAUAUUACACAUUUUCUUAGUAUAGAUAGUAUCUUAGAUUUUUCUCAUUCGAGUGUGAUUUAUUCAGUUUUACUACUUAUCUCCUAACUCUUAUCCUUAAUUACAAUUUUACUUUUAUGUAAACUAUGAUGAAUUGUUUUAAUUUUUUAUAUAUUUAAAAAAAUCUUAAUUUUAGAAAAUAUUUUAAAGUAACAAAAUUAAAAUUCAUAUUUUAAACAUUUUAAAUCAUUUAAGAAAUUAUAUAUGUUAACAAUUAAUUUCAACUAAUCAUUUUUUUAUUUAUUGUGUUUUUAAUUUAUGCAUGUAAUAUGGUAAGUUGAAUUUCAUGUUCUACAAAUAAUUAAAUUAACAAUUCAUCAUGUAUUUUUAAAAUUAUUUAAGGCAUUAUAUAUGCUAACAACUUAUUGCAAUUAAUCAUUUUUUACUUAUUGUGUUUUUUAAUUUAUGCAUGUAAUAUGGUAAAUUGAAUUUCGUAUUCUACAAAUCAUUCAAUUAAAAAUUAAAUCAACAAUUUAUGAUGCAUUUUAUAUAUUAGAUAAAUUUAGUCACAGUAUUUUAUAUAAACUUAUGAGAUUAAAGUUUUAAUGGGUCGUACCCGUCUAAGAAGGGAGAGUUAAAUGGGUCGUACCAUUGAGCUAAAUUCAUUUUGUAACCCAUAGAGUGAAAUUUAUUAUGUCACCAUAAAGUGAAAGUCACUUAUUCUUUGAAUAAAAGUCUUAAACACUUAUUCUACUUAAUAUAUAUUUUUAAUAAAGGUUUAAAAAAUCUAAUUGUUGACUUAUGUAAUUGUUGGCACCCAAAUUAUGUUGAAAGAGAUGAAGUUCAGUUGUUGAGGAUUUGGUUAAUUGUCUGAAUGUGGAUAAGGAUAAUUCAGUUGCUCAUUGGAUUGGAUUAGCUGAAUGGGUAUCUAGUCCGCAUCAGAGUAUUAGUUGAAUUAAAUUAUAUUUAAUUUAAUAAAGAUAAGAAAAUAUUUUUAUGAUUUUAUCAUUUUUUAAAUGGCUUGUAAAAAUUAAAACAAGUCGAUGAUAAUGCUUCUUUUCCUUAAAAAUAAGAAGCAGUUGCUAGUUUCUUCAAAAUUUAAAGUGCAGAUAAAUUGGCUUGUGAAUGGAGGAAAUCAUGCCUAGGUUUCGGAUAAGUCACAAUUAGAAUAACUCAUACCUAUCAACCGAGUUUUAACUCAAAUUCAACUAUGAGAAUUAUAAUUAGUAGAAUCAAUGUAAAAUUAGUUAAAUGACCCAAACCAUGUUUUAGGCGGUUAGCAAGUAAAAAAAAAAACAAAGUGAUUAAGUAGAGAAUAUGAAUUUCUACCCGACAAAUAGGUCUCAUACUUAAUUUGUAAAAGUGACCAUCAAUUCAAAAUCAAGCCUAUUUUACUCCAUGUUUUAUCUUUAAUGUUUUCUGUCUUUUAUCGCUUUAAAUUACAACUUCAGGCAACUUGUUUUCUACUUCUUUUUUUGUUCACCUAUACUAAGCAUUAUUUUUGAACCUACAAGAAACAUAUUCCCAUUCUUAGCACAAAUCACCUUACCAUUUGGAAUCAUGAUAAAGCAAGGCUAAUUGAAACAUAUUUUAGCUAAUUUUAUAAAUUUUUACACGAUAACGGUAAGAUUAUCUCGGUCAUGUGUACUAAAUUUUAGAUAAGUUAAAUAUUUAUAAAUAUGUAAUUUUGUAGCUUAUUUCUUGUAUUUUUAAAAAUUUAUUAAAUGUUAAAUAAAAAAUUAAUUGAUGAAGUAGGAAAUAAUCUUUAAAUUAUAGUUUUAAAUUUAUUUUCCUUGUUGAGAAUUCUUAAUCCUAUAGAUGAAUUAAUAAAUUCAAUGUCUAAAAAAUUACUAUGCAAAAUAAGCUAUUCAAAAUUAAGAUCUAACUUAGUUUGUUGGGUAUCAACAAUUCAAUUAUUUUAAAUCUAAUAUCAGAAUUCAAUUCACUCUUGUUGGGAAAGUUUUAUCGGACUGCGGUAAGACCGGCGAUUUUGUACGGAACAGAAUGUUGGGCGGUCAAGAGCCAACAUGAGAAUAAAGUAGGUGUAGCGGAGAUGAGGAUGUUGCGGUGGAUGUGUGGUAAGACUCCACAGGAUAAAAUUAGAAACGAAGCUAUUAGAGAGAGGGUGGGAGUAGCGCCUAUUGUAGAGAAGAUGGUGGAAAAUAAACUUAGGUGGUUUGGGCAUGUAGAGAGAAGACCGGUAGACUCUGUAGUGAGGAGAGUAGACCAGAUGGAGAGAAGACAAACAAUUCGAGGCAGAGGAAGACCCAAAAAGACUAUAAGAGAGGUUAUCAAAAAGGAUCUCGAAAUUAAUGGUUUGGAUAGAAGUAUGAUACUUGAUAGAACAUUAUGACGGAAGUUGAUCCAUGUAGCCGACCCCACCUAAUGGGAUAAGGCGUUGUUGUUGUUGUUGUUGUUGUAUCAGAAUUCAAUUCACUCUUUUGAAAGAAGAAAAAAAACUAUUUAAAACCUACUCCUGAAGUAAAUGAAUCUCUACAUGUUGAUGAACUUGUUUAGACACAAUUACAACAAAAAGAAUAUACCCCUGAAAUAAAUGAAUCUCUACAUGUUGAUCUACCCGCCUGAAUUCUUGAUUCCCGGUUUGUUACUAUAAAGCAACUUUAAGCUCCUCUUUAUUCCCAUCAAAGAAAAAGUGUAUCUUUAUGGUGUAAACAAGGUCCAAUAAAGAGAUGAAGAAAGCUAGUGAUGAGCAGUGGCAUGAUUGCUCCAUGGUGGACAAAUGAAAUCUAGAAUAUCCCCACUUUACAGAGACAAUGAUUUACAAGUCAACGCAAAUGAAGGUUAGGUUGUCUCAGACUCUCAGGAGGGUUACGGUCAAUAACAUCAACAUCUACAUUAAAUUCUAAGGCCCCACCAUAUGACGUUAUCCCCCCAAGACAUGGCUUUGUGCUCCAAAAGGGGUUUGUUAAAAAAGUACACCUCACAUAAUUGUUUUUGCUUGGUGCUCAUAUGGCCAAACUAUGUCUCAAAGAAGUGGCCUAUGAUGUUGAGAACAAGUGGUGCAAUAUUAUGCUCAGGAAGGUGCUCAUGUGACCAAACUUUGUCUCUUGAUAUUGAGAACAGAGUGUUGUAAUAGAUGCUAAGUACACAUCUAACAAACAUAUGGUUACAAGAUAAUCAUGUCUUUUCAAUAUAAAGUUACAAGUUUGAUUCUCUGAUUUGUGCUUAUGAAAAAAAAAUAUAUUAGAAAAGAUUAACUCAUUAAAUGAAUUUUAAUAGCUCAAAAAAGAUUUUUUUUUUGUUUUCGGUCAAAGAAUACCAGGAUUAUAUAAAAUAAGUAAAGUACACAUCUUGAUAUGGAAACACAUUUUUCCAAUACUAUAAAUAAGCAGUUUAUAAAUAAUAAAAAUCACAACAAUAUCAUAUUGAUAGGCAUUACAAAUAGAGUGAUAAAUAGAUCAAAAUAUAGUUUAAUGUUUUUUCUUGUCUAGUGACAUUGUGGCAAUGAAUAUGUUUUUCUCCCCUUUAUUUUUGUUCUCCAAAUCAGCAGCAUCAAAUCAGGAAGGUCUUUUCAUUGCAGCUUUACAAAAUUUAGUUACAGGAAGCAUUCAAGCAAUGCAACAAUUCUCAACAUAUAAUCACUAUUGAUCAGUUUUGACUCGUUUUAUUUCAUUAGAAGUGAAUGGAGAAACACUACCACUCAGUUGAGGGCUCUCUUCUCUGAAGUUGGAAUUAAGCAUAGCAAGUUCUCUUAGUUGUUGCCUUUUGUAAAGGUCCUGUGACUCAUCCUGCACAUGAAAAAGGGAGAAGAAUCAGAAACACUUCCUUAACUAGACAAGAGCUUCCCCAUAAUGUUAUUUUGCGCUAAGGCUUUGCUCAUAGAAAAUUUGGCUCAAGAGAAGUCACAACAAAAGAGUAGUAGCAGUUUUCCAGUUACAGGCUUCCCUUAGAGGAAAAGAAAAACAACAUAAUUGAGUGCAGAAAAAAGAGCAUGAAUUAACAUGUUUACAAUAUUGCCUUUCAGCAUUAGCCACUCAUCUGGUAACUGGAAGAGGUAGCCAACAAGGAAAAAAAAGUUACUACACUUAACUUGAUCAAUUUAGUGACACAUGAAAAAUUGUAAGAGAUACCACGUCAUAUGAGCAUUGUCAUGUCAACUAAAAUUAACAUCAUUAGUAUAAAAAAUUGGCAGAAAGACCAACUUGGUCUGACAUAGAUACUUUAAGAAACCAAAAUAAAUUUGUUAAAUUUAGGAGACCAAACUAAAACCAAAAUUAGUCUUCUCCUAACUUUUCUGUUAUAGAUAUGUUAUUUCAAAAUCAUAAAAUAUGGACUAGUGUGGAAUGGUUUUUUCUAAGUAGUAAUAGUAGAUAGAGAGUGGACCAUAUAAUAAGGGAGAGAAGCAAGGGGAAAAAUCUCAUUAAUGAAUAUGUUCAUAGCUCUACAACAGAGUUAGAAAGGUGGAGAGAUACCACUGGUUUAAGUAGCUCUUGUAUGAUUUCUUGUGCUUGCAUCAAUCUUACAUCAGCAACACUGGUAGGUAGUUCAGCUUCAAUUAUAAUGUGAAGCGGAUCAUUCAGGUGCUCAUAGCCAGGCCUUCCUCGUAGCAUUUCUUCCUUUAGAGUGAAAAAAGUAAAGCAAAUUUAGAGGUUACAAAUAACUCAUGGAAUUUAAAGGACAAUGCAUUAAGCUAGAGAUGAUACCUUGUCUAAGUCUUUAAUUGAACCUUUCCCUCUGAUAAAUACACGGCAACCUGUAGUAGCUUCCACUCGCUUCAGUGAAUUGCCCCUAGGGCCAAGAAGCCGGCCAACAAAAUUAAACUGAAAAUUAAAGCAGCCUUAGUAACUCAAAGGUCAAACAGGAUAUAAAAGUAGAGUAAAUAGUUUAUACACCAACUAUAUUGUUGUCCAAUCACAAAUCAUCAUAUAUGGUAGAAUUGUUGACUUUUACAAUAAUUUUCUUAAAAGUCAUAUCUAAUAUGAUUUCUAAUUGAUUAACAAUGUAAAUUUUUUACAUUGAUUGUACAUACAAAUUAAACUCAUAAAACUAUCAAAACAUGAAGUAAAAUGCUAUGAAGUAUGUUACAAAUCUUACAUUUGGAUAGCUAUCCUUAGGAAUAUCCAAGCGCAAUAUCUUCUUCACAAUGGGAGAACUUGGAACAACUGGUGAAGUUUGCCAAUCCAUGUUUAGUCCCUGCACACCAGCUAACCUCUGAUGUAUGACAAGCUUAACCAAUCAGUAAAAGAAACUAGAGAUUAUAAUGUAACAGAACCAUAAGAGGAAUGCUGGUACAGUGGUACAAGAUAGGAAAAAAUCAAGUUGUAGUUACUGUGUGUUAUAUAACAAAGUUUAAAGUAUACACAUUUAACAAAGAGGCAAUAUUGCCACCUUAAACAAAAUGGAGAAGAGGGAAUCUAAGCAAUUAAGUACCAGAACUGGAUAGGUUAAGAAUCAGAUUAUUUUUUUUUAAAGCAAUGCAUAAAUGAAACAUAAAUUUUAUGUUGGGGGGACAAGAAAAAGUAGGAAAUGGAGACUGUGGAGUGGUAGAGAAUUUUACACUGAAUAGAACAUAAAACUGAGGUUCUUACUUCAUGUGACAGGCUGUUCCAGCCAGUGAAGUUUGGUGUUGAGUUUGGAGAAGCCAUAUGACUCAGAUUUAUGAAUCGCAUUCUAUCAAAGUCACUAAAUCCUUGGUUCUGCAAUAAUUCAUUCUUUCCGGUAACCCUUAAAAUCUCUGAUAAUAAUAAGGUAAUAGUGACUAUAAGAACUUGUACAAAAGCUACUGAAUCAAAGAACAUAAAUAUUGUUAAUGCAACCUUUCAGAUAGUAAACCAACUGUAAAUUAUGUCUAGGAAGUGUAGUAUCAGACAUAUACAUUCAUAAAGUGGAUGCUAUCUAUAUGAACAACUUAAUUUUCAAAACAGAAUGUUAUAGAAUGGUAGCAUUAAUAAUAAAGCUGAUCAUCUGAAGGUUUGCUCUAGUCAUGCAAAAGACAAUGCCUAAGUAUUUUUUUUCUAGACUAGAGGAUGCCUAGAACCAAUGUUAGAAAGAAUUUUGCCUUGUGUAAAAGGAAGCAAUGACUAAAUUGCCACCAUCUUUUAGUACCACAUAUUCUUUUUGUGGGUCAUCCAAAAAGUAUAUGUUUCCUUUUCAUGAUUGAUCAACAGAUUACAAUUCUAGAGAACCAUAGCUAAGAAUUCAGUUGCUUGUAUUUCAAAUCAUAUAUGUUUAAACUUUUAAUUCCUAAGGAAUUUAGUAACAAUGAUUGAUUUAAGCAUUAGCUGGUUCAGACCGGUGAGAAGGUCAGAAAUUGACACAAUCCAGUGCAUUUGAAAGAAGAUUAAAUGAAGGUUUUAAAAAACGGUCCGCCACCAAAAUUUCAAGGGCGGCACCAAGGUUUUUAGAGUUUCUACGACCACAAUUGUGACCACAUAUUGACGAAACUGCGGCCGCAAUUCAAAACCUUUGAAGAGAAAGAGCAGUGAAACACUAGACCAUGUAACCAGAAAGUUUAUGUUAUGACUUGGCCUAGUUCAAAUGAAGAUCAGUUAAAAUGAAUGAAAAAAUAAGAGGGGAAAAUUCAUAGCAGAAUCCUUGAAUACAUAUGGAAUAAACGGACCUUGAUUAAGGAGUCUGGUACAUAAGGGUAGAACUUGCAUGAAAGGUCCAAGCUUCUGUCUUUCUGCUAGCAGCUCCGUUAAGUACUGACUAGAACAAACAUAAAUAAGAACAUAUAAAUCAGAACACACACACACACACACACAUAUAUAUAUAUAUAUAUAUUGGUAAAUUAAAAAUAAAAAACUUCCACAAUAAAUGUCAGAAGAACUAUCCCUUACAUACCUAUCAACAUCAAAAUUGCCUCUCAUGUUUAUGUUUGGUGAAUUGGCUCCUUGGGGUGAAGGUAAGGAAAUCUGAUUGUACAAAUUAGACAUCAAUUUGUAAUAUGGUUUGGUUUGGCCAGAAGGACUAGAGAAUAAUUUCAAAGGCAACAAAGGAAGAAGAAAAAAGAUUAGUGAAAAAUCCUGCUAUGAAGAAAACAGAAUCAAUCACCUAACCUAUUAUGCUUGAGAGACGAGAGAAAAAAAUGGUAAGGGAGAAGAANNNNNNNNNNNNNNNNNNNNNNNNNNNNNNNNNNNNNNNNNNNNNNNNNNNNNNNNNNNNNNNNNNNNNNNNNNNNNNNNNNNNNNNNNNNNNNNNNNNNAGGGAGAGAAACAAAAAAGAAAGGAAGGUACAAAACUACAAAUGAAAAGAAAAAAAAAAAAAAAAAGGAUGGCCACUUCUGUAGUAGCUCAGUAGUUAAAGCAAAGCCUUAAAGUGUGUUGUGUCACUCUGUACCUCUCUCUCUCUGGGUGUGUUUUAAUUGUUGUUCUGUUGGCUUCUGUUGCAUAUGCAACACUUUAUCAUGUUUGUGUGUUUUCCUAAUUCCUUAACAAACACAAGCAGGUGGAUUUUUUUGUGUUUUACUAGAAAACAAAGGGGGGGGAGAAAAACUCUAACAAAAGGGAGGGAUUUAGGGAUAUUGAAGAGAUUGAUUAAUAGGAUUAUAUAGUCAAAACUAUAAAAGAAAAAGAAAUUUCCUCAGAUAUUCACUUGAAUUCUUAAGUUGCAGAAGAAAAAAUUAGAAAAAAAUGCUGAAGCAAUCAUGCAGACUCCAAUAGAUGGAUUUGCUUCAAUCAAUUGGAAAGAAGAAGCAAAGGAAGACGCCACCCCAAUGACCAAUGUGGGUCACCAGUUCUCUGCCACCAGAUCAUGAGCAUGUAGAUUGAAACCAAUCACUAUCAUGCUUCACGCAUAUAUAUAUAUAUAUAUAUAAAUUUUAAUUUGAGAUAUUAGUAUACAUUUAUUUAUCUUUAUACGUAAUAAUAAUAAUAAUAAUAAUAGCAUAAUAUCAAUGUCCAAUAUAUAUCAAUAUAUUG
rnacentral:lncRNA from 1 species